rnacentral:lncRNA from 1 species
AAAGACAUCGAAAGUCACCUUCUCAAUGCAUAACACCGAGACCAUAUAUGCCGUUUGCUAGUAUUUCUCAUGUAAAUAAAGUCUGGAACUUGGAAGUGCAUGUACCUACGAUCUCUAUCCUUCAAUAAACGCAAAUUCCAGCUGUGGACUGGGUGAUUAAUGCCGAGAAGAUAAACUUUCCUUAAUUAUUUGUGCAAUAAUGUUAUUGCAUGCGUGUAAUCGGUUGUAUGCUUGUCUAGGAGUCGCUUUGUGAUUUUUAGUUGGUGUCUCUUUUAAUGGGGUUCUUGCAUGUAAUGUGAAGACCGUAUGAUGCAUGAGGAAAUAAAUGAAGUGAAAAUCACCAAGGGCUCAAUCACGAGGAGCCUUUGAGUACGUCCACACAUAUGUGAAAAAUCAGCCUGUAACAAAUUAAACUCUUAAUCAUUAAAAGGGCAAAAUCCCACUUUGCACAUAAUCUAAAUAAUUUAUCUAAAAAUCUAAGAAUCUCUCUCUCUCUCUCUCUCUCUCUCUCUCUUUUCAAUUUGACGAGGACAUAAAAGUAUAAAGUGAUAAAGUUUAAGGGUAGUGACUUCUAUUGAAUUUUGUGAGGUGGUCAGCUAUAAAUUAUGCAAUGAGGAAAAUAGAUUAAUAGUGUUCAUGCAACCAAAUAGAAAAUAGAAAGUAAUAAUAACAUUAAUAGUAAUCAUUUAAUAAAUACAAUUAAUGCAAUUAUGCUAAAUGAAAAUAAUAAUAAUAUUAUUAUUAUUUUUAACUUUAUUUAUGAUACAAAUGAAUUAAGUCUCUUAGAAAUUUGUCCUGUCCAUUUUUAUUUUUUUUAAAGUAUCAAAAUAUUUAAAUCUCUUAAAAUAAAUCGAGUAAUAUUUUUUUUAAAAAUAUAUUAUGAUUUGUUUGAUUGUUAUGCAAGUGAAUUUUAUUAUUAUUAUUUUAAAACUUUGGUUAUUAUUGACCCUGAUCAAUAAGAGUAAGGUUGUGUUUGUUUUUUGGCUGAAUAGAAAAAGUCAAAUAUUUUAGUUUUUUCUAUUCAGUUAAAAGUAACUCAUUGAUAUCAACCAACAUCAUUAAACUAAACUUAUUGAUAAUAAGUUCACUUUAAUUAUGUUGGUUAGUAUCAAUAAGGUAUUUUUAGCUGAAUAGAAAAAACCAAAAUAUUUGGCUUUUUCUAUUCAGCCAAAAAACAAACACCACCGAUUGUUAAUCCUUAUUAUCUUUGGUGGGGGUAGUGAUGCAAUGCAAAUCUAGUUAAUAAAGAUGUUAUUACCCUUUCGUGUACUAGUAAGAGGAACAAAGGGAGCGUAACAACCUAGUACAAGUCCCAAUUUUGAACACCACAUUAUUAAUAAUGGACCAAAGUAAUUUGUUCAUAAUUUUUUUUUAAUAUGAACUGAGUAUACAAAGUGUGUUAUUUAAUCAUAUCUUUAAAUUGAAAGUGUUUAAUUUUUUUUUGUGAAAAAAGUUGAUUUAAUUAUUGAAUUAAAUACACUUGCUAAUUGAUUUUUAUAGAUGCCUAUUAAUGUCUUAUAAUUUAAUUUUGUACAAACCUUAUUUGACUCACCAUUCUAUAUUAUUAUUAUUAUUAUUAUUUUAAGGUAAAAGUGGUAUCUACAGGAGAGAUCAUGAUAGGAAAAGUGUUUUUAUUAGCAACACCUUUGAAAUUGAUUUAUUUUUAAAAUUGUUUACUUAAUAACUUUGGAAUUGAUUUAUUUUUAAUAUUGUUUACUUAAUAUUGAAUUCAAUUAUAAUUUCUAGAGUUUUUAUUUAAAUGGUGGGAAGAGUCAUUAAAUUUAUUAUUAAGAUUUUUUAAUUAGUUUUGAAUUUAUUAAUUAAAGUGUUCAUGUGUUUGAAACAAAUGUUGAUACAAAAUGAUCAUGUUACCUUACUCUUUGGUAUUGUGGUGUCGUAGUUGGUUUUAUAGGUAUUUUUAUUAUAGAGUAUUAGAAUAUGUUUCACUGCUUUUAUUUUAAAGGUGUAUUUGGUACGCGGGAAUAUGAAUAAAAAAAGGAUGAGAUUGGAAGUGAAUCAUAAUCUCAUGUAUAAGAGAGGAAUCAAAAUCCUAGUGAGAGGGGGAUUUGGUUUUCAUAACACUGAAUUUUUUAUUUCUAUUCUCAUUUUAAAAAAACAAUUCAAACACAUUAAUAAAUGUGAAUGAAAUUAGUUUCUCAUUGCCAUUUUCUAUUCCAACAUUCCAAACAUGCUCUAAGUGUUUUUAGUAAAAAUGUUUUUAUUAAAUAUGUUUUUAAGAAAGUCACCUAUUAAAUAUUUUUUCAAAAAAUAUUAUAAUUGAUUUUUUAAAAUUACAUCUUGUUUUUCAAAAUUUUAAAAAUAUUUCUUAAACUUUUUUAAAAACAUUUUUAAUCUGAACACCCUUCUUAAAAUCAUUGAAACCAGACUUUUAAUUAACCUACCAAUCUUCAAAACAAUCUAAGAUGCAGAAUGAUUUUGUGAGUUAAGGUCAAGUGGGCGCUUCAAUAUUUAUCAUGUCUUUAAAAAAACUUCAGGGCCCAAGUCCAGAUUCUCAGAUAUGGAUUCUAACAGUUGCUUCCAAUCAUGUUGGUGAAAUCAAAUGAGUGUCACAGAAAUCGCUAUCAUUGUGGUACUGGAAAAAAAGAAGAGAUUCCUCCACUUGUUCUUGAAAUUUAUCUGCACGCAUGCAAUAAAUCAAUGCUCCAUAAUCUCCUGCACAUGCAAAUUAAAAUCAAAAUCAAGCCAUUGGCCUCUCACAUUACCAUUCUUGGCUAUUUUCUGCUAUGUAUAUAAAGAGUAAUAACCACAUCAUCCAACUUUUGCUCUGGUCGUCAAACUUCCACCACUUCUUUCCUAACCUCCUAACAUCAAAUACAAAAAUGCCACAUCCUUAUUAUUGAAAAUUAAAUUCCCACAAGCUUAUGCCAGAUUUUUUGUUGAUUGGAUAUUCGGUCUCAUAAAAUUCAGUACCGAUCACAAACAUUCGUUAUCCACCCUUGAUAUCGAGUAGGAUAGAGUAUCCAUAUAUGGACUCGGUGCACCAUACCUUCCCUCUAUAAAAGGUUCUAGGGUGGUGAACUAUUUUUAUUUUUCUUCAAACGCAGCCUCGGCUAGUUACUAUAUGGUUUCCAAGCACUAAAAGGAAAAAAGAAAUGGCUCAGAUAGCUAAGAUGGAAGCCCAAGUAGAGAUAAAGUCCCCUUCCAAUAAGUUCUACGAGGUCUUGAGCAGCAAAGCUCAUCUCCUUCCCAAGGCCUGCCCCGACAAAAUCAAGAGCAUCGAAGUGGUUGAAGGUGAUUGGAAGAGUGCGGGCUCUGUCAAGCUCUGGACUUACUGUAUCGGUAAGGCAAUGCUAACCAUUAUUCCCAUGCCACCCUCAAUCAAACAAAAUACAACACUCAGCAUAUGGGCCUUCUUGUUUUUAAUAAUGAUUGCAUUGGAAGGUAAUAACGAAACAAAAGGAAUGACCCUUCCUAUCAUGUAAAUAGCUCCAUCUACCAUGUAAACGUAUUUAUUUAAGGAUUUCAUAGCAUAGGACACUUAGAAGGCAUGUUUUUACUUGAAUGUUUUAAGCGAAAGUGCUUUUCCUAAAAGUACUUUUUUAGAUAUCUUCAAAAACAAUUACAAAUGAUUUUCAAAUAAAAUAAGUGAUUUUUCAAAUAUUUAAAAAUGAUUUCUAAAUUUUACCAAAUGCCUAUCUUUUUUAAAUGCUUUUUAGGUUAAAAAGACUUCUUCAAAUAAUUGUUAAAUGCAUUGUUAGGAAGUGUCUCAAAUUCCUAAUUAGUAUAAAUUUUUUUUUUUGUAAAAAAUAUUAUAUAAAUAACAUUAGACUUCCUCAUAGAAUAAGGAAGGUUGUUAAAAAUAUUUUUAUAAAUAUUAUUGGUUAUGAGAGAAAAAAGUUAUGAGAUGAAAAUGAGUUUGUAAAAGACUAUAUAAGGUAGAUAGAGAUGUGCGAAAGAACGGGAGGUACUUGGUGGAGCGAGAAGACUCAUGGUAGGGUAGAAAUACAAAGAGUAAGGAAACAUGAGAUGUUUCAUAAACUCACUAAUUGUAUUAGUUAUGUUUUCUGUAAUGUUUUGGUUCUGUCAUCUGUAAUAUUUUUUAUUGUAUAGUAAAAUAAUUUUCUCUCAUCUGUGGAUAUAAGCAUGAUUGGUCGAAUUACGCUAAAACCUUAUAUACUAUUUGUGUCAAUUAUUUUAUCUUUGUAUUCUUGAUUAACGAUGUUUGUAUCAAAGCUUCCAUCGACAUAACAUGCACUUUUAUAAAAUACAAAAUUACAAGUUAUAUUUGAGAGGUGUUUUUGAAAAUAAUUUUGUAAAAUAGUUUUUAAAAAUUAUUUUAUAAUAUUUUGGAGAAUAAAAAUUUGUUUAUGUUUUUAAAUUUUUUUAUAUAUUUUAAAAUAUAUUUUUAAAAGUAACUUUUAUUUAUAAUAUUUUAUUUUAAUCAUUUUCAUAUUUGAAUAAACAUUUCUUAAAUCCCUAAAAGAUAAGUUAAAAUAAUUAAAAACAAUUAUAAGAUAUUCUAUGAGAAUAUCAUGUUUUAUAUUUUUAACAAAAAAAAUAUUUUUUGUUUUAUGGUUACUAAAUGCAAUUUUCUAUUUUUUUAGAGAACAUAGAAAAACAAUUGCCAAACAUGUCAUAAAGUUUAGAAACUUAAAAUUUUUUAAAUUUUUUUUUGUAUUUUAAAAUAAAUUUUAUUCUAAUACUUUAUUUUUAAUUAUUUUUUAUAUAUGUAGAGAUAUAUAAAACAUCCAUUGAAAAAUAAGUAAAAAGAAUUUUAAAAAUAUUCUACAAAAAUACUUUGUUUUAUGUUUUUAAUAACAAAAAAAAUGUUUUUUAUUUUCUAAUUUUCAAAGGAAAAAAAACCAAAAAAACAAAUGAAUGAAGAGAGAGAAGAGAGGAAGAUAUUUAAAGGGAGCAAGAGCACAUUUUCAUACACUGAUUAGCCUGUUUCUUUAAAUUUUGUUUUAUUAUUUGAUGGUAACCAUGGAGCUGGGGAUGAUAAUUACUGGACGGUUACCAACCUAAUCAGCCUUUUUCAUUCGAGUUGAGCUACAUCAUAACUUUAUCUAAAUCAAUUUAUAUACGUGUAACAUGUUUGAAAUAGUGAACAGAAACCAUCAUGGAAACCAGUUUUCUACGGUAGUGUAUUGUUUUAAAAUAUUUUAAAAAAAAUCUUAACAUAAAAGAUAAUUUCAAAAUUGUUUUAUUUUAAUAUCCCCUAUUAAAAAAAAGGUUAAUUGGUUAAAGGGAUCAAAAUAACUCUCAUAUUUGGAAAUAUAACCCACCAGUCAAAAAACAAAAAGUUAACCCGAUUGAGACAAAAAUGCCCUUCUUCUUUUAUCUUUCCAAGACACACAACUUCUCCUCUUCUCCUUCAUUUACAGAACGACUCCUCAUAUUUUUCAAAAAAAUUCUCUCAUCAUCUUUUUCUACUUCAUUAUAUUCAUUUGGUGCAUAAAACGGAAAGGUCAUCUCCUCUUCCGCUUCAUUUACAGAACGAGUCCUCAUCUUUUAUCAUCUUCUUCUAUUUUAUUAUCUUCCUUUGAUGUACAAAACGAAAAUAUCAUAUUUCCUUCAAAAACCCUAGAAAUCCUCUGUUUCAUUCUGAAUCCUUGGAAAAAUUAUUAUUCUAUUUUUUUUCAAGUUAUCUCACAUUAUAUCUUCAAGCAUGAAGGAAAUAAUGAGUUCAUUGAAAAGUAAUAGGAGAAAAAGAUUUAAAAAAAUGGCGAAAAGCAAAAAUGUCAAUUGCGAAUAGAAGAAAAAGUGAAGCAAAGGAAAGCGAAGCCAGUGAGCAAAAAUCCCAACUAUUGUGAAACAGUGAUUGUGAACUUAACUGUGAUUAAGUUCUUUGUUAAUGGAACUCAACUACUAUUAUGUUCAGGCGAAAAUUUGGACGAUUAUUAUUAUUUGAUGGUAACCAUGCCAUGGAGCUGGGGAUGAUAAUUACUGGACGGUUACUAAACUAAUCAGCCUUUUUCAUUCAAGUUAAGCUACAUCAUAACUUUAUCUAAAUCAAUUUAUAUACGUGUAGCAUGUUUGAAAUAGUGAACAGAAACCAUUAUGGAAAUCGGUUUUCUACAGUAGUGAAUUGUUUAAAAAUAUUUUUUUUUAAAUCAUAACAUAAAAGAUAAUUUUAAAAUUAUUUUAUUUUAAUAUCCCCUGUUAAAAAGAAUGAAAAUUAUCGUAUUUUUUUGUAUUUAUUUUAUAAAUGAUUAUAUUUUAAUAAUAAUUUUUUAAAAGAACUUUUAUUUUUUAAAAUCCCAUGGAAACUUGUGUCCACUCUAUUGAAGAAGAGACACGCAAGCCCAAAAAGGUUGGGUGGAAGAAGCACCGCAUUGGAAUUAUUGCAAUUUAUUGAGUUGGCUGCCCCUAGGCAUUGACAGUUAAACAAAAAAAAAAAGAAAAAAAUAAAAGAAAAGAUAGAGAGAGAGCGCACUACCAAUAUUGGGGAGGACUGGAGGAGGCCUUGCCUAAUUCACAACCCCCUUCUAUAUAUAAGGGCAAGUUAAUGUAUUUCCUCUCGCCACUGCCUUCUGUUUGAAUCAUUUGUAAUUAGUUUUAUUAAUCCAGCUAGUGUUAUUAUCAGGAAAAACAUGGCUCUAACUGCAGGUAAGUUGGAGAUUGAAACAGAGAUCAAAGCAGUUGCUGAUGAGUUCUUUAAAAUCUUCAGGAGCCAAGCACACCACCUGCCUAAUAUCUGUUCCGAUAAAAUACACAAAAUCUAGGUACAUGAAGGUGACUGGGAGACUCAGGGAUCCGUCAAGCAUUGGAUGUUCAAAUUGAUGAAUGGUAGUUUUUCAUUCAUACUUUCUUUCGUUCAUAUACAGAGUAUAUAUAGAGGGUAAUCACCAUUCUAAGAAUGAGAAAGGAUGAUACAAGGAAAGAAUAAUAUAAGGAAAUAACAACUAAUAUCCUAAUAUCUCAACUUUCCUAAUAUCUCAAUAUUCCUAAUAUCUUAAUAUUCAUAAUAUCUUAACUUUCCUAAUAUCUAAACACUAAAUGAUAUAAGGAAAUAAUGAUAUAAGGAAAACAUUCCUAAUAUCUCAACACUCCCCCUCAAGUUGGUGCAUAGAUGUCACACAUGUCCAACUUGUCUAAAAUUUUUUGAGAAUACUUGACUUGAGACAGCUUUGGUGAGGAUAUCGACUAACCAAUCUUACUUUCCACCUUGGAUCAACUAAGGCUUCUUGCACAUUGUUAGGAAUAACUACAGUAAAUAAUUGAUUUACAAAUGACUUAUUUGAUUCAGACAAACGAUGGUUAGACACAUAGUUGCUCAUGGGAUAUUUGACUUUGGUAGACAAAUCAGGUUCAUAUGUGGGUUUAGGAAUACCAAGAUUAUGACGAUGUGGUAACCGUUUCAUGAAUGGAUCGGGUUCCAAAUUAAGAACACCCUCAACAGACGACGAUUGGUUUGAUAUUUCAGUGAAGACAUCUUCAGACCCAAAUUGUUGACCUCUCAUAUCCAACUCACCCACUUCCUGGUUCACUAGUUCAGAUUGUCCAGAUUCAUUCUCCUUAGAGAUAUGAUAAUCAUAAUCAAGAGUCUGAAUUUCCUUAUGGUACUCCCCCUGAAGUUCAGACUCAGAUGAAAAUUACAUCGAAUCUUCAUGAAACACCACAUCCAUUGUAAUAUACAUUUGUCGAGUUGGAGGAUGGUAACAUCGAUAUCCCUUUUUGUGCAAUGCAUAUCCAACAAACACACAUUGCAAUGCAUGGGAAGUUAACUUAGUGCGUUGGUGCUUGUGUAGAUGCACAAAUGCCACGCAACCAAAAACACGAGGAGGUAGAUUUGGGACGGUUGGGGCAACUACGACAUUAGUAAGAGCUUGGAGAGGUGUUUGAAAGUUAAUUGAGCUAGAAGGUACCCGAUUGAUCAAGUAUACGGCAGAUGUGAUUGCUUCUCCCCAAUAAGAUAUCGGUGUUUUUGCUGCUAUCAAGGAAGCACGAAAAACCUCUAACAAGUGCCGAUUUUUUCGUUCAACGACUCCAUUUUGCUGGGGUGUAUUGGAACAAGUAGUUUGAUGAAUGAUGCCAUGUCCUUCCAAAUACUUUUGAAGAUCAGAACUUUGAUAUUCUCCACCAUUAUCACUACGCAGAACCCGAACCUUUGCAUUGUAUUGAGUUUCAAUCAUUUUAUGAAAUUUUUGAAACAACAAGUUCACUUCAUCUUUGGUCUUCAUCAAGUAUAACCAUGUCAUUCUGGUACAAUCAUCAAUAAAAGUAACAAACCAACGCGAACCACUCAAAGUUGGGACUUUGGAUGGGCCCCAAACAUCAGAAUGUAUAAUCAUAAAAGGAGACGGACUUUUAUUCAAAAUUAAUGGAAAGGAAGCACGAUGGCUUUUAGCCAAUUCACAAAUAUCACAACGGAAACCAGAAAUAUCACUCUUUGCAAACAAACUAGGAAAUAAUUUUUUUAAAUAUCCAAAGGAAGCAUGUCCCAAACGUCGAUGCCACAACCAAAUUUCAGACUUUUUCUUCUCUUCCUCAGAUCCAUCUGCCAUCAAGGCUUGUCGCAACUUAUUUGAAUCAUUUGACUGCAAGUCCAAAUAAUAGAGUUUUCCCCGCUUAAUACCAAAACCAAUCGUCUGUCUUGUUUGGAUGUCCUUAAAAACACAAAAUUCAGGCCAAAAAAUGACAAUACAAGAUAAGACUGCAGUGAUUUGAGAAACUGACAAAAGAUUGUAAUUUAAGGAUGGAACAACUAAAAUAGAAUCCAAAUUCAAAGUAUCAGUAAGAGUUAAGGAUCCUUCCCCAAUGACUGGGGUUGUGUUACCAUUGGCUGUGGAAACAAAUUUUUGUGAGGAAGGUCUAACGGGUGAGACUUGUCUAGAAUCAAAAGUCAUAUGAUCUGUAGCACCAGAAUCAAUUAUCCAUGCAUUAUUAAUAACAGGUGUAGAAGUAUUUAAAAACUUACCACCAUAAUCUGUAGCGGCUAUCAAUGCAGAGGCUUUCUCAUCAACAUUAGCCUCUGUUUUUAUUUCGGCAAUAGCUGCAGUCGAGGUUUUCUUGGAAUUCUUCUUCUGUUGAUCACGAUUGUGAUCCCACCAGUCUGGAUAUCCCACAAUUUCAAAGCAACGACUCUUGGUAUGACCAGUCUUAUUGUAGUGAGUGCAUUUGAAGGUUGACUUAUCAAUAUUAUGGUCUGUCUUAGGAUGAUUGGUCUUGGAUUGGUCCUGCCAAUUUCGGGUUAAUUGUUGUCGGACUACCAUAGCUGAGGUGUCAGGGUUGUCAGAUUCUGCUUUCAUACUAGCAUGACGUAAUGCCUCUCGUUGAAUCAGUGCAUAGCAUUCUUCCAAAUAGGGAAGAGGAUCUUUGCGUAGAAUCUCUCCUCAAACUUGCUCAAAGUCACCACCCAAUCCAGCAAGAAAGAUGUGCACCCGUUGUCGUUCAAUGGAUUUCCGGUAUGCUGCAAUGUCUUCAGGGUCUUUCAUGACUACCUUCUCCCGAUGAUCCAAUUCGCAAAAAAGUUCAAUUAACUCUCCAUAAUAUUCAGAAAGAGACCUGCCGUUUUAUUUGGCAGUGAAGACUUUUUGAUUCAAAGUGAAAACUUGUAAUUCAUCACUUUCAUCAUAGAAGGCCUUUGAUAAUGCACUCAAAAUUUCUUGAGCGGUGGGUAAGCGUAAGUAAUGCUUCAUAAUUUCUGGACUCAUGGACAUUAACAACCAUCUCUUCACCUUUUGAUUCUCAGCAUACCAUUUUUCAUAUCCAUCUUCUGACUCUUUUGGUAGAUUUGUCUUACCUCGGAUGUAGGAAAGUUUUUCCCGUUCGGCAAUAUGCAUCUCCACGAGUUGUGACCAAACGUCAUAGUUUGAUUUAGUCAAAAUAAUUCCUGAAUUGAAAGUACCUUCAGAUUGAAAAACAAUAAUACUUUUUUCACUCAUUUUUUUUUUCUCUCGCAAAGAAGGGGCAAUUGUUGGCCUUACAACAAAAUAUCCAGGAUUUCAGGAACCUAGCUCUGAUACCAUGUUCAAAUUGAUGAAUGAUAGUUUUUCAUUCAUACUUUCUUUCGUUCAUGUACAGAGUAUAUAUAGAGGGUAAUCACCAUUCUAAGAAUGGGAAAGGAUGAUACAAGGAAAGAAUAAUAUAAGGAAAUAACAACUAAUAUCCUAAUAUCUCAACUUUCCUAAUAUCUCAAUAUUCCUAAUAUUUCAAUAUUCAUAAUAUCUUAACUUUCCUAAUAUCUAAACACUAAAUGAUAUAAGGAAAUAAUGAUAUAAGGAAAGCAUUCCUAAUAUCUCAACAUUGGAGUUACACCAUUGGUAUAACAUGCAACUCAAACUCAGAACUCCAAAACACUAGCUGGCAUUAUAUUCUGCUAAAAUAUUUUUUGAUGUUUAUCUUUCAUUUCAUUGUUGUUUUCUUCACCUCUCAAAUUUUCUUUUAUAAUAAAUGCAUGCCUCUUUGUACUUUUUUUUUUCUUGCAAAGAAGUGACUAUAAUCGAUGGUUCUUAGUAAUGUAUAUGGCAUCUAAUAAUAGCUUUAACAUAUUCCAAUUAUGUUUAACCUCACAUUUUGGUUUGAACUAGGAGGGAAUUCUAAGAGUAUUAAGGAGACUGUGGAAUCAAAAGAUGAAGAGAACAGGUCCAUCACGUUCAAGGUUUUGGAUGGGGAGCUGUUGAACGACUACAAGAGCUACAAGUUCACCACACAAGCGAUACCAAAGGGGGAGGGCUGCUUGGUGAAAUGGACCGCUGAAUAUGAGAAGGCAAGUGAGGAUGGAUCAGAUCCCCGUGGCUACCUGGAGCUUGCAGUUAAUAUCACCAAAGAUAUCGAAAGUCACCUUCUCAAUGCAUAACGCCAAGACCAUAUGUACCGUUUGCUAGUAUUUCUCUCUUAAAUAAAGUUUGGAACUUGGAUGUGCAUCUAUGUACUAUCUCGACCUUUUAAUAAACGCAAAUUCCAGCUGUACUGGAGUUGGUGACUAAUGCCGAGAAGACAAACUAGGUUCCCGAUCCUCAGUUAUUUAUGCAAUAAUAUUAAUUAGUGCAUGCGUGUGAUUAGUUGUAUGGUUCUGGGAGUUGCUUUGUGAUUGUUAAUCGGUGUCUUUUGUAGUGGGAUUAUUACAUGCAUGUAAUGUGAAGAACAUAUGAUCCAUGAGGAAAUAAAUUAAAUGAAAAUUACCCAGGCUCCAUCAUGAGGAGCCUUUGAGCAUGCCCACAAGCCUACGUUCCUGCAUUCAAGUCACAUAUGUGAAAAUUCCACUUUGCACAUAAUCUAAAUAAUUUAUCUAAAAAUCUAAGAAGUAAUCUCUCUCUCCAUCUAUGUCUCUCUCUCCCCAUCUAUAUGUACCUCAAAUGAAGAGGUAAGGUAAUGUAAAAUCCCCACCUCAAAUUUAGGGAUAUUUAUAUAAUUUGAAAAUUUUAAAAAGACCUACAUUAAUUUUGUAAAUAUUUAUGUAAUCAACUUUCUCAGAUUAAUUAAAUAAAAAAUUGACCAAGAUGAUUAAAAAUGCAAAUUUGAUGAGGACAUGAAGUAAAAAGUGGUAGGGUUUAAGGACAAUGGCUUCUACUGAAUUUUGGUGAGGUGGUGAUACAAUGAGGAAAAUAGAUUAAUAAAGUUUAUCCAUGGAAAUAGAAAAUAGAAAACAAAAAAUAUAAAAUAAUAAUAAUAUUCAUGUUAAUCAUUUAAUAAAUAUAAUAAAUGCAAUUAUAUAUGCUAAGUGAAAAUAACAAUAUUAUUAUUAUUAUUAUUAAUGCUUAUGAUAGGUGAGAAUUAAGUCUUUUAGAAAUUUGAGUAAUUUUUUCAAGGUAAAGCUUAUAGUUCAUUAAGUCAUUUUAUAAUUCCUUAUAUAUUUUUUUAUUGAUUUUUAAAGUAUCAAAAUGUGUAAAUUCUUUAAAGUGGAUCAAAUAGUUUUUUUUUUUUUUGAAAUAUUUUGUGAUUUGUUUGGUUGUUAUGAAAGUGAAUUUUAUUACUUAAUUUAUUAUAAUGAUUUUAAAACUCUAGUUAUUAGUGGUUUUAGUCAACAAGGAUAAGUUAUUAACCUUCUUUACCUUUGGUCAGUGAAGGGAUGUAGUAUAACACUAGCCAAUAAAUGUGUCAUUGGUCUUGUAUACUAUUGAUUAGAAAUUGUUAUGUCCACCAAUGAGAGUAUUAAAGUGAGGUGAGCCACCUAAUGUAAGUCCCAAUAUUUGGGCACAACGUUAUUAUUAAUUAAUAAACAAAAAUAAAUAGUUUAUUUAUAAAAAUUUUUUUCUAAAUAUAAAUUGAGUAUGCAAAUUGUAUUUUUUAAUUCUAUCUUUAAAUUUAAAGUGUUUAAUCUUUUGAAGAAAGUGAAUUUAAUUUUUUGAAGAAAGUGAAUUUAAUUUUUGAAUUAAAUAAAUUAACCUGAUAAUUGAUUUUUAUAAAAAUUUGAUAUCUCUUAGAAUUUAAUUCUCUACAAUAUAUACCUGAUUUUUUUCAUUGAACUAUUUUUUCUUAUUGAACCAUUGAAGUCACCCUUCUUUAUUAUUCCCCUUUUCAUAUACAAAUGGUAUAAGUGAGAAGGGAUUACGGGAGGAGAAAUGUUUCUAUUAUAAACAACUUUGGAAUUGAAUUAUGUUGGAUUGUGAAACGUGAAUCGGUUUAAUUUAUUGUAUUUUGCAAGGAAUGCUAGAGGUCGAGUGUCUAAUUGAGCUUGCGGGGAUCAAGAGUCUUGAUCGGUUCGUUGGGACUUGGGAUUGAGUUGUCCAAUCAGCUCAUGGGGUUAAAGGAAUAUCCUUCGAUUUUUUUUAAUACGAUGAAUAACGAGUUUGUCCUAAUUGUAUAUUUAAUCUUAUUAUAAUUUAAAGUUUCUUUUUAGAGAGUGUGUGACUGCAAUCGAAAGGAUAAUGAGUGUUUAGUACUCGUCUUAUUUUUUUCUGAACCAAAUUAAAAAUCUAUUGUUUUUCUUUAUUUUCUAAUCGUGUGUGCAUGAUUUGAUCAACAAAUUAUUUAUAGGAUUGUUUACUUAAAUUUGAUUGUAAUUUAUUUAAGUUUUUAGGAGAAUCAUUAAAUUUAUUAUUACAAUAUUUUAUUAGUUUUGAAUUUGUUAUUUAAAGUGAUUCAUUUACUUGGUUCAAAGGUUUGACAUAUAAAGUCACCGUGGUUCCCUUGGUGUCGCGGGUGAUUUUGUAAGUGCCUUCGGACUACAGAAUAUUAAUUAACCUACCAAUCUUCAAUGUAAUCUAAGAUGCAGAAAGAUCUUGUGGGUUAAGGUCAAGUGGGCGCUUCAAUAUUUAUCAUGUCUUCAAAAAAAACUUCAGGGCCCCAGUCCAGAUUCUCAGAUAUGGAUUCUAACAGUUGCUACCAAUCACGGGGGUGAAAACAAAUCAGUGUCGCAGAAAUCGCUAUCAAUGUGGUACUGGAAAAAAAAGAAGAGAUUCCUCCACUUGUUCUUGAAAUUUAUCUGAACGCAUGCAAUAAAUCAAUGCUCCAUAAUCUCCUGCACAUGCAAAUUAAAAUCAAAAUCAGGCCAUUGGCCUCUCACAUUACCAUUCUUGGCCGUUUUCUGGUGUGCAUAUAAAGAGUAAUAACCACACCAUCCAUCUUUUACUCUGGUUGUCACACUCCCACCACUCUCCCACCACUUCUUCCCUAAUCUCCUAACAUCAAAUACAAAAAUGCCACAUCCUUAUUAUUGAAAAUUAAAUUCCCAUACAUAUAAAUCUUAUGCCAGAUUUUUUGUUGAUUGGAUGAUAUUCGGCCAUAUAAAAUUCAGUAUCAAUCACAAACAUUCGUUAUCCAAUCUUGAUACCGAAGAGGAUAGAGUAUCAAUCCAUCUAUGGGCCCGGUGCACCAGGCCUUCCGCCUAUAAAAGUUUUCUAGGGUGGUGAACUAUAUUCUUCAAACACAGCCUUGGCUAGUUACUAUCUGGUUUCCAAAGAAAGAAGAAAUGGCUCAGAUAGAUAAGAUGGAAACCCAUGUAGAGAAAAAGUCCCCUGCCAAUGAGUUCUACGAGGUCUUCAGCAGCAAAGCUCAUCUCAUUCCCAAGGCCUGCCCUGACAAAAUCAAGAGCAUCGAAGUGGUUGAAGGUGAUUGGAAGAGUGUGGGCUCUGUCAAGCUCUGGACUUACUGUAUCGGUAAGGCAACGCUAACCAUUAUUCCCAUGCCACCCUCAAUCAAACAAAAUAAUACACUCAGCACAUGGACCUUCUUGUUUUUAAUUAUUAUUGCUGUGGAAGAUAAUAAUAACAAAACAAAGGGAAUGACCCCUUCUGAUACGGGUGCCUCCUCAUAUUAGUUUUUUGAAGUUCUCCAUGCAAACUAAAGUAGAAAUCAAUCUUUAGGCACAUCCCUUAUCUGAGCUUCACAUGACCUUAGUUUCAUUUUAAAUUAACCUGCAGGAGGAAAUACUUCGUCUAGCAAGGAGAGGGUGGAAAAGAAAGACGAUAAGAACAAGUCCAUCACUUUCAAGGCUCUGGAUGGAGAGGUCAUGAAGGAUUUCAAGAGCGUCAUCUCCAUCCUUGAAGUGAGUGCAAAGGAUGACGGCAGCCUGGUGAAAUGGACUUUGGAAUAUGAGAAGUCAAAUGAGAAACUCCUACCUCCAGAUGCUUACCUCAGCCUUGUAAUUAGUAUGAGUAAAGAAAUCGACGCUUACCUUCUCAAGGCAUAAGCCGCAUAACAAGCCCUAUAUCCUUGACUUGAUAUGAAAGCAUCCUAGCCUGGGUCCUCCUGGGAAUAACGGAGUUGCUAUGCGUACCUCCAUAUUAUAUUAUCGACACCUACUGGCUACUGCUGUACUCCAUGUAACUUCUUGCUGUACUUAAUUAUAUGAGCUUCCUGAAUUAAUGUUGGAAUGAUAAAUCAAGCUUUAUGGUAGAAUCAAAUGAUUGCUCUAUCAUGGAAUAAAUUUCGCAAUAAAAAUAAAUAUUAGAGGAGAGUUAUGAAACGAAGCUUUUUUUUCUGCAUCAAAUUAACUUUUCAUACACUGUUUUUAAAACAAAUCAACAUACAAUGAUCUUAUGUUGUACCUUUUCCGUUGCAGAUUGCUUUUAAAAAUGUUCUCCCCACAGGCACUUCUAUGGUAUCUUUUCAAAAUUGCUAUUAUAUAUGUUUAAUUAACCAUUCAUUUUGGUCUAAAGCUAGGACGAACUUCUAAGACUGCCACGGAGACUCUGGAAAUCAACAGAUGAAGAAAAAAAUAAAAUAUAUCCAUGACUUCCAAGGUUUUGGAAGCAGAGGUCAUGAAUCAUUUCAAGAAGAUUCAAGUCAUCCAUGCAAGUAACAGCAAAGGAUAAGCGCAGCUAGGUGAAAUGGAGACUGGAUAUUGAGGGUCACUAUCUCAGAUUCUCAAGGCAUAGCAUUAAAAACAUAUCCUUUAAUUGGUAGUAUAAUCUCAAACUUGUAUGUAAAGACCAGACCGUGGAAGUGCAUAUAUGCAUUUUAUUCUUCAAUAAGCGCAGGCUUAGGGGGUAGUUCAAUAACCUCUGGGCUUAGUCAAUCCCGAGAAGAUAUUAAUAAAUUUCCCUGGAUUAUUCCUCUCAUGAAUAUCAGUGCCUGUAAUUUGGUUGUGUGCUAACGGGAGUUGCCUCUUGCGAUCGGUUGGGUUCUUUAAUAAACGCAUUAUUAGGUAUGAAUGAUCAGGAAAUUGAUAAGUAAAAAACAAUUUAAUUAUUUCACUUAAGUCAUAAACCAUUAUGAGGAGCCUUGGAAUAUAUGCAUGAGUCUAGAUUCUCGCAGCCACUAAUCACGUAGUCAAAAUUGGCCAGUCGCAAACAUUCCAAUCAUUCUUUAUGAUAAGAAAGAAGAGUUCACUCUUCUUUUUCUCGAGUUUUUUAUUUGGAGAGAGCAAUUUAUCAGCCUCACAUUUUGAGACCUUUCUUGGCACAUCACUUUCAGAAUCUGAUUUCCUAGCUCCACUAUAGAAGUAAAGCCAGUUGGGUAUCACAUUCUUGUUUUAUGUCUCCUUGAGUGGGUCGGGUGUAUAUAAAAAUUUGCCAGUUGAAGAUUUUCUUUGUUAUGCUAGUCUUUCUUUUUCUAACCUCCUGAUAUCAAAUGGGAAAAUGCCAUAUCGUUACUGGACAAUUGACCCAUAAUGGAGAGACUUUUGUUGGUUGGACUUGGGCUUUUAUAUAACUCAGCAACUAUCAUAAUUAUAGGAGAAAUUUGAAGUAACCAUAUUGAUUUGGGUCUACCAAGAAGCAAGGUGAAUCGUAACAUAUCAUGCAUAUAACUUGAUUCAAUUAUUUUAUAUUCUACUUGUUUCUUAUGUAUUUUUACUUUUAUCAAAUAGUUUAGAUAUCAUUACCAAAUAUUCUCCUGACAUUUUCCUAUUAUUUCUGUAAGAUGCUAUAAUCUACACCCAAAGUAGUGGACCACUUACACUUUAUUAUGUACUAACCACGAUCAUAACUUACAUUCUCCACCUUGGCCUCUCUCUUAUCCCAAAAAGUAAAGACUCAGGGUUCGUAUCCCUUCCCUUCUGUCUAUAUAGGUCUAAGAGUAGUCAAGUGUUUCCUUCAAUAGCCUUCAUAUUCUUGGCAGUAACUAGGUACUUGGUUUUCAAACACAACAAAAAUAAUGGCUCAAAUUGCCAAGAUGGAGGUCCAAGCAGAGAUCAAGUCCCCUGCCAGUAAGUUCCACGAGGUCUGUAGCCGUAAAGUUUAUCUCGUACCCAAGGCUUGCCCUGAAAAAAUUAAGAGCAUUGAAGUAGUUGAAGGUGACUGGAAGACUGUGGGCUCUGUCCAGCUUUGGACUUAUUUCAUCGGUAAGGCAAAAUCCAUCAUUCCACGCCUCCCCCAACAAACACAAGGACACAGAGCUCAAUUGUACUUCUAUUAUUAUUACUAUUAUUAGGAAAUAAUGAUAAUCUAAUGGUAAUGUGACUCUACUCAUGCCGAUAUAAACCCCGUAAUCUUGAUCUCAAAUUGCUAUCAAACAAAAGAAUAUCAAAUAAAGGUAAAGUGUGUCCCCUAUAUUUAUACGUAGAUAGAUGAGUUCUAAGCUUAGCACCAUGUUUUCCAUUUGAAAAACAGGAGGAAAUACCGAAGAGGCUAAGUUGGUGGUUGAAAGGGUAGACGAGGAAAACAAAACGGUCACUAUGAACGUUGUGGAAGGAGAUAUCGUGAAGUAUUUCAAGAUCUUCAAGUGCACUAUUCAAGUAACCGUAAAGGAUAAGGGCAGCUUGGUGACAUGGAGUGUGGAAUAUGAGAAGCUAAAUGAGAGUGGCCCCGCUCCAGAUGCUUACCUCAACUUUGCAAUGGGUAUCGUUGAGAACGUGGAUGCUUACCUUCUCAAGGCAUGACAACAAAGGCGUAUUCAUGAGUCAUGACAUGGUAUGAAGCACUGGUACAACAAAAACUUGGGAAUAAUGUACCACACGCCAUGUCCUCAACUUCUACUGGUCAUCGCUAUAAUAUUAAAAGUAACUUCUUAUUCUACUUAUAUACCUUCCAAGUACUUUGUGUCUUGAAUGUUAUUAUCUAAAAAUAAAAAUAGAAAAUCUCGAAGAAGAGCAUUGUCCUUCGACACUUUUCUUUCUUUCUUUCUUUCUUCACUGCUGAGAAUCUCAACGUACGACUACCAUUUGCAUUAUGGACCCAUGACUGCCAUCCUUUGACCACAUUUGUUGCCCUCCCACCAAACUCCUACGCGUCAAAAUUUCUAUUGUUGCUUGAACAAUAUUUUCAUUUGAAAAACAAGGAAACGAUUUAAAAAUUCUUAUCUCAUGUCUAGUUACCCCGGUCGACCAUAUAAAGUACCACUUGAUCACUCUAGUCUCCUUUGCUAGCCCAUGGGCAAUGCAAUACCCAGCAGGUCCCAGUAACCAACUCUAUGUUCCUCCGAAAAUGAAACAAAUCAGGUCGUUUCAGGGAUGCAUUUGAUCUCACCCUUUUGUUUUGUGUCCGUUAUUUUUUAUUUUAAUAUCACAUGUUUAUAUUUUAAUCUCAUUCUUUACACCUGGAUUUGCUGAUAAAGGCAACUUUCUUUUUGAGCUUUGAUCGAGAUUUUUAUGAAAUUCCUGUGAUAUUACCGUCCUGCUCCUGCUUAAGAAUGUAACUUUGAUUUUGCUUUUAGUGAAGUCUUUAGGUGUUGUUUAUUCCCCAAAAUCUUUUGAUGUUUCUGAAAUUGCUUCAGUGGACUUUGAGAGGUUGCAGGUACCUCUUUUCUCCUGAAAUAGAAUUUGUUUCAGUGGAGCAAGACAACAGGAUGAGCAAAAAAUAGAACCAAUUUUAUUGAUAUAUAUCAGGUUUUUGAGACGUUGAAGAACAUUUCUAACAACUUUUUUUGAUGGGUGACCAAGCCUAUUAUGCCACAAUGCAUAUACAGAACAAGAAGAAAAAGAAGCAGGUGUUGGAACUACAGAAGAAUUGUAUACUAAGGGUUGUGUUGACAUACUGACAUAUGACUUAUGAGGAGUUGAGGGAGAGAAGCUGCCACUGAUUAUUAAUGAGAUCAAUUUGAGACUGAUAAAAAACAUAAAGACCAUCUUUAGGCCUACCCCUCCAGUAGCACUGUUUUGAAGUGAAAUUCAAAGAAGACAUUCUUUUGGGCAAAUUUUGACACACUGAGAAGGUUCUAAUUAGCAAUUUCAGGGACAUGAAGUGUUUUAAAGAGUAAUUUCAGCAAACAUAACUUCAACUUUACAUCCACCUGACCUCAUUAUUUCAGUUUGACAAGAGGGCUUAAUUAUAUCAGUAUGACUGCUAAGAAGACUUUGGAAUAUUAUAAAACGAGUCCAUCAAGUUCAAGGUUUGGAAUGGAAAGAUCAUGAGUAAUUUCACUACUUUUAAGCUGAAUAUGAGAAGGUAAAUGAGGAUGUCCCAGACCCAAUGCUUACUAAAUCAUUGAAGGUCACCUUCUUGAGGCAUAAUUCCAAUUCUUUUCAUCGAUGCUUCUUAGAUGUUAUAAAACAAUACUAUGAAAAUGAAAACGUAAUGUAAUUUUGUCAAAGCCUUUUCCUUAUUGAAGACUCUGGACUGAUUGCGUGGGUGCGCAACACCCACCAUAAUUCCCACACCAACGCCCAACUAACCAAAUCACGUAAGGCCUCACAUGGCCUCAUUAUUAUUUCUGUUGAAAGAUAAUACUAUAUUACAUACGAGAUGGCCAUUCUACCAGCCACCUGUAAAGUUGGUGAUAAAUUGAUACUAAAAAUAGAAGGAAAAUUAAGUUGAAAUUAAGGGUGUCUAUUUAAAUUUAAUUAUUCCCUAGAUAUGAUCUUUUGAUAUGAUUUGAACCCGUUAAUCAUUUAUUUUUAUAUAAAGAGACAAAAAUUCAAUUGUAUAAUCCAGGAUGAGUCACUUGGCCGGGUUUUCGACGACAGCUAAAUCAACCUUCAUUUAGUAAUGAUUGCCCAUGAAAUAAAUUAUCAUGUCUCCUCACAAUAUAAUAAACUAAUAAAAAAUAAAAGAAGAUCACAAAGAAAAGCAUCUUAGUGGAAGUUUUUUUUUUUUUUUUUUUCUUUCAUUUGUUGGUGGUGACACUCCGUGAAAUGUGAUCAACUAGCAUUUGAAUUACACAACCUAAUGCAAAUGAUAAAAAGCAUAAAUUACUUUAGAGUGUUUAGAAUUUGGAAGACUCUAGCUAGGAUGAUAUGGCAUGGGUCUGUGGCCGACAACCACCAAACCCAACGCUAAAUAAUUAUUAUUGAACCAUCAUCAUCAGUAUAAGCAACAUCAAACCUCUCCAUGUUAAACUGUACAUUUUAUUUCAUCCGGAUCUAAUAUCUAAUUAUAAAUGAUUAUGUAUGAGAUUGCAAUCCUUUGCUUAACUCUUUGAAAAUCUAAUUAUAAAUAUUUGGAAUAUCGAUUUCAUCUCUACCAUUAAAAGCAUAUGAAAAAAAUAUCUUGGUCUUUGAAUAAAAGUAAGUAUAAAUAAUUAGACUAGGGUACCAAAUGAUGAAAUCAAAUAUAAAUGAAUUAUAACCAUCAAAUUUCUAUUUUUCAUUAUUAAAUCAUUGGGCGCUCCAAUUUUUACAUGAUGUAUAACUAUUGACGGAAAUGUUAAUUAGGGAUGGCAACGGGGCUGGUUUUUUCGGGUACCCGCCCCCCCCUCCCCCCCCCCCGCCCCUAAUGGGACGGGGUUGAAAUUUAAUAAACGGGUUUUUAACGGGUAUGAGAUUUUUUUUUAAAACCAGGGGCGGGUUCGGGACGGGUUCGGGACGAGUUCGGGUAUUGCCCCAUUCCGCCCCGCCCCGCCCUGUUUACAUAUAAAAUCAAUUUUAAAAUUAAUUUUAUUUUACUAUUUUUAAUAUAUAGAUAAUAAUAAAAAAAUUAAUAAAAUAAGUUAUAAAAAAUAUAAUAAUUUUAUUAUUUAUAAAUAUAUUUAUUUUAAUGUAAUUAAAAAUUUUAAAAGUAAAUUUUUUUUUUUAUAAAAAAAAGGAGGCUAAACGGGGCGGGACGGGGAUGAGAAUUAUUUUUAAUAAACGGGGCGGGGUUGGGAUGGGGGCAACCCGUCCCGAACCCGCCCUGUUGUCAUUCCUAAUGUUAAUAUAAGGAUAUAAUAAUGGGUAAAAUUAGUUGAAAGUGUUUUUUUUAUGACAUAAAAUAAUUUUUCAAAUUUUAAUUUCUAUUUACUUUGUCUUCCCUUGUCAUGUAUCUUUGUAAUUUUCCGAUUUGUUUAUCAAAACAAUAAAUGAUGUCAUGUUAUGAUUUCUCUUUUUGUCUUCCUUUUUAAUUGACGUGUUUAUUGGAAUAAUAUAUUAUGUUAGACAAAAUAACACAUACCUCCACUGCCCAAAUCCCCUCCGUGACAAUGAACCCCAUCUUUAAGCAUUAUUAUAAAAUUAAGCAUAAAGUUAUUACAAGUUUCUUCCAUUUCACAUGCCUUUCCCAUAGAUUGAGUGGUGGAGAUGAUCAUUCUUGAACGAUUUAUAAUUUUAAUGAAUUCUGUCUAUUCUCAUAUCUUUUAAGAGGGAAUUCAAAUCAACUUAUCUUAUUUUCUCAACGCUACUUAACUUCCACGGCUUCAAAUUUACAUGAUCAUAUCAUUAUCAAUAACUUCGGCAUAACUAUUCAAAUUUUAAUAAGAACUUCAAAUCAUUGUUACCUUUAUUGCCUUAAAAAUCUUUUUCUUUGUCAAUGAUCCCUGCACGAUUAUUAAAUAAUAGGAUUGUUAUUGUCAUAUUAACUAAUUUUGAUAAUAUAGUCAUCGUCACGGCUGAGUGCCGUUUUCUUGGGAGAUUUUUCAUAAAUUUAAAUCAAUACCAGUUAUAGGAAAUGCGUCACAAAUUAGGAAGAUAUCGAGCUGGAAGCAGAUGAUAUAUAAUUCAUUAUUUUCUUCCUUAUUGAAGCUUGACAAACCAAUCCAAAUGCAUUAACGUGAGAAGCAAGGUUUUAUGCUCAUUUUCAAUGAACCUUGUCAACAUGCACGUCAAAAACAAUGAUUUAUUAACUACGUACAUGUAGAACUGCAUGGGAAAAAAAAAAUACAAUUAAGGCAUUGGGAUAUGAAUAAAACGCUUAACUUAAAAUUCAAAAUUCUCAAAACUACGUUUUUCACACCAAAAUGUUUCAUCCAGCCAACCUAAGACCGAGUGAAUCCUCCCUCUAAAGCACAUUGCCCAAGACUACAGGCAACGUAGUAAUUACCUAAGCAAAUACGUCAGAAUCAUACCAAUUUUUACCAAAGUGGGUAUCGGGAAGGAGCUUUGCCUAAUUCAUCCUUCUAUAUAUAAGGACAAGGUUAUCUACUUCUUCUCAUCACUGCCUUCUGUUUGAAUAUUUUGUAGUUAGUUUUAUCAAUCCAGCUAGUGUUAUUAUCAGAAAAACAUGGCUCUAACUGGUAAGUUGGAGACUGAAACAGAGAUCAAAGCACCUGCUGAUAAGUUCUUUAAAAUCUUCAGGAGCCAAGCACACCACCUUCCUAAUAUCUGCUCCGAUAAAAUACACAAAAUCGAGGUACAUGAAGGUGACUGGGAGACUCAGGGCUCCGUCAAGCAUUGGAGUUUGACCGUUGGUAAGGCAUCUCAAACUAAGAACCACAAAACACUAGCGUUAUAUUCUGUUAAUUAAAAUAAGUUAUUAUGUUUUUGUUUCAUUUCAUUGUUGUUUUCUUCACCUUUCAAUUAUUCUAUUAGAAUAAAAGCAUGCCUCUUUGUACAAUUUUUUUCUUGCAAAGAAGUGAUCGAGUCUGGGCCGCUAGUGACUAUGAUGGUUCUUAGGAAUGUACAUGACAUCUAAUAAUAGCUUCAACAUAUUCCAAUUAUGUUUAACCUCACAUUUUGGUUUCAACUAGGAGAGAAUUCUGAGAGUAUUAAAGAGACUGUGGAUCAAAUAGAUGAAGAAAACAGGUCCAUCACAUUCAAGGUUUUGGAUGGGGAGGUGCUGAAAGACUACAAGAGCUACAAGUUCACCACACAAGCGAUACCAAAGGGGGAGGGCUGCUUGGUGAUAUGGACCAUCGAAUAUGAGAAGGCAAGUGAGGGUGGCCCAGAUCCCCAUAACUGCCUAGAGUUUUCAGUUAAUAUCACCAAAGAUAUCGAAAGUCACCUUCUCAAUGCGUAACACCAAGGCCAUAUCCACCCUUUGCUAGUAUCUUGCUCGUAAAUAAAGUUUGGAACUUGGAAGUCCAUCUAUCUCUAUCUUUCAAUAAACGCAAAUUCCAGGUGUGGACUUGGUGAUUAGUGCCGAGAAGAUAAACUAGGUUUGCCUUGGUUAUUUGUGCAAUAAUAUUAGUGCAUGAGUGGGAUUGAUUGUAUGCUAUCUUGUCCGGGAGUUGCUUUGUGUCUUUUGUAAUGGGAUUACUACAUGUAAUGUGAAGACUAUAUGAUGCAUGGGGAAAUAAAUUAAGCGAAAACUUCCAUGGGCUCCAUCAUGAGGAGCCUUUGAGUAAGUCCACAAGCCUACAUUCUUGCAUUCUAGUCACAUGUGUCAAAAUAAGUCUCUACAAAUUAAAGUCUUAUUGUCAAAAUCCCACUUUACACAUAAUCUAAAUAAUUUAGCUAAAAUCUAAUAAGUAUGUCUCUCUUUAUAUGUACUUACCAUCCCAACUUUUAAAUUUAGGGAUAUCUAUGUAAUUUAGAUUUUAAAAAGAAAAUUUUAGGGAUAUUUACAAAGAUAAAUGAAAUAUUUUUGGUUCCGAUAACCAUUAUUUUUAUCUCAUUUUGGUUUCUUUGCGUUAUAAAAAAAAUGGUUUGUAGAGAUAAACUAGAGAAAAAAAAAAAUUAUACAAUGGUUUGUAGAGAAAUUUGAUUCGAAAAGUUAGAAAAGAUGAUUUGUUUUUUGCAUUUGCUUCAUUCUAAAAUUCAAUCACUAUCUUUUAUCUCAUUUUGGUUUCCCCACAUUAUCAAAAAAUGAAGGAUAAAAAUAAACUGGGGAAAAAAUUAUACAAAGGUCUCCGAGAACUUUGAUUUGAAGAGUUAGAAAAGAAGAAUUUUUUUGCAUUUGUUUCAUUUUAAAAUUCAAGGUUUUUGGAUUUCUAUUAUAUAUUAAUUAUGAGGAUAGUAGAAUAAUAAUAAUAAUAAACAAAAACUAGUUAUUAGUGACCUUGAUCAAUAGAGUAUAAGUUGUUGACCUUUAUUAUCUUUGUUAGAAGUAGUUAACGAUGCAAUGUAACCUUAGCCAAUAAAGAUGUUUUGAUAUACAUUGAUUGAAAAAUGUCCUUUUAAAACUAGUUAUUAUUGACCUUGGUCAACACAGAGGAUAAGUUGUUGACCUUUAUUACCCUUGUUAGGAGUAGUGAACGGUGUAGUAUAACCUUAGUCAUUAAGGAUGUUAUUAGCCUUUUGCUAUAUCAUUGAUUGAAAGUUGUCCUAUCCACCAAUAAGGAGAAUGAAGGCUAGCCACCAAGUACUAGUUUUAGUAUUUUGGCACAAUAUUAUUACUAGUGAGUCAAAGUGAAAUAUUUGUUGAUAAAACUUUUUUAAUAUGAAUUGAGUAAGCAAAAUAUAUUAUUUAAUUCUAUCAUUAAAUUGGAAGUGUUUAAAUUUUCAAAAACAAUUAUUUUAAUUAUUGAAUCAAAUGAGCUUACAUGUUAAUAGACUUUUAUAAAGAUGUGGUAUCUUCCGAAAUUUUAUUAUAUAUAAUAAUUGAUCUUCCUUAUACUAACUUUUAUCAUUGAGCCAUCGAGUUCACUUUUCUCUGUUAUUCUCCAUUUCAAUUAUAAAUGAUAUAAAGAGGGAUGAGGUAAGAAAAAUAUUUCUAUUAGAGACAGCUUUGGAAUUGAUUUAUUUUAGGAUUAUUUACUAGACUGAAUUCAUUUAUAAUUUCUAAAUUUCUUUUUGAAGAAUUUGAGAAAAUUAAAUUAAUUAUUGAGAGAUUUUAAUUAGUUUUAAAUUUGUUACUUAAAGUCGUUCACAUGUUGGAUUCUAAUAUUUGAUACGUGAAACUAGCAUGAAGGGCUUGACCUCCGGGUUUGGGGCGUCGCAGCUGACUUUAGAUUACAGAAUUAUUAAUCAACCUACCAAUCUUCAAAGCAAUCUAGGAUGCAAUAUGGUUUUGUGAUUUAAGAUCAAGUGGACGCUUCAUUUAUUAUGUCUUCAAAAAAACAUUUUGGGCCUCAAUUCGAGAUUAUCAGAUAUGGAUUCUAACAGUUGCUUCCAAUCAAAUCAGUGUCACAGAAAUCGCUACCAUUGUGGUACCUGAAAAAAAAAAAAAGAGACUCCUUCCCUUAAUAUUGAAAUUUAUCUGAAGCUAUGCAGUAAAUAAAUGCCCCAUUUUGUGCGUCAUAAUGGGGGAUCACAUUCAGAAUCUUCUGCACAUGCAAAUUAAAAUCAAAAUCAAGCCAUUGGCCUAUCACAUUACCAUUUUUGGCCCUUUUGUUUUGUUGUUUUUUUCUUUUUUUGGCGUGUAUAUAAAAAGCAACCACAUUAUCCAACUUUUAUUGAAAACACCAUAUUAUCAGAUACAAAAACGCCACAUCAUUAUUAUUGAAAAUUAAAUUCCCAUAUAUAGAAAGCCACAUAAAAUUCAGUGCCAAUCACAAACAUUCGUUGAUAUUCACUAGGAUAGAGAUAGAGUGCCCAUAUAUGGACAGUGCACCAUACCCGCCGUGAAGUGAUUGGAAGAGUGUGGACUAUGUCAAGCUCCGGACUUAUUUGUAUAGGUAAGGCAACGCUAACCAUUAUUAUUCCCAUGCCACCCUCAAUCAAGCACAGUCAUACACUCGGCACAUGGCACUUCUUGUUUUUAAUUAUUAUCAUAGUGAACAAUGUUUUCAUAAUCGGAUCGAUCAUCGAACCGAAAAAGUUAUCGAUUUACAGUCCAUUAGUCGAACCGACGGUCGAACCAAUAACAUCAUAAAUAUGUAAUUUAUAUAUUAUUAAAAUUAAAAAUAAUUAUACAAAUUUUAAAAUAUAUAUGAAUAAAUUAAAAAUCAAUAAUAUUAUUUUGUAUCUUUAAUAUUAUCAAAUUAAAUCAUAUUAAUAUUUUAAAUUUUAUUGAAUGAAAUAUAUAUAAUAUUUAAAUAUGAAUAUAUUAAAAAUGAAAAUUUAAUUAAACUAAUUUUAUAAUUUUUAAAAAUAUUAUAUUAUUUUUAUUUAAUAUUAUAAAAAAAUUUAAAAUCCAAUAUAUAUUAUUUUGUUUGGCAUAUUAAAUAAUAAAAGAUGUAUAGCCGAGUGGUCCUAGGUUGGUUAUAGACCUUGAGGUCCAAGUUCAAAUCCUUUGGUGGAUUUGUUAAUUUUUUUUUUCAUUGAUUAGGUUAGUUAGCAAUCCCACACUAAGAGGAAUAAGGAUGCUUAUAAAAGCUAGCCUCAUUAUGGGCAAAGGCAUCACCUCAUCUGGUGGGCUUAAGACUCAGCCCAUAAAAUGGUUGGGUGCGGUGUGGGCUUUGUCACAUUAAGACAGGGCCCAUCAUGGGCUUUUGCUAAAUUUUUUUAUACAAGGGAGCCUUCCAUGCUUGCAAAAUGGUGGGAUAACUUGAACCGAUCGAUUCGCUCAAAACCGUCUGAUUUCGUUGGGUUAUCGAUUCAAUCAUCGAUUUAGGUGAUUUGUGACCGGUCCAAUGCUUAGACGGUUUAAUAAAGUAAAUCUAAUAAAAAAUGUGAUGGAUCGACGAUUGAACCAGUUGGAUCAGUCGGUCCCACCCGAUUUUUAAAACAUUAGAUAAUAACAAAUUAAAAGAAGGGUGUCUCCUCAUAUGAGUUUUUUUGAAGUUCUCUACUCUUGGAGUGACUGAAAGGAUAACUGCAGCCUGGUGAGAUGGACUUUGGAAUAUGAGAAGUCAAAUCAGAGGCUCCUUCCUCCAGAUGCUUACCUCAGCCUUGUAAGCAUGAGUAAAGAUAUGGAUGGUUUACCUUCUCAAGGCAUAAACCGCAUAACAGCAAGGCCUAUAUCCUUGACUUGGUCUGAAAGCAUCCUAGCUUGGGUCCUUCUGGGAAUGGGAUUGCCACACGUAUGACCUCUGUAUCAUCAGUUUUGGGGCAAAAUAGCCAUUUUAUGUAUAAAAAAAAAUAAGCUUUAGCCCUUUACAAAACUUAUGUUUAAACUAGCUCACAUAGAGUCAUGUCAUCAUUUUUCUUUUAAACUCAAUUAGACUUUAUUUUUUAACUGAAACUUCAAUUACCAAUUGAGAAUUCAUUUUUUAACUAAAACUUCAAUUUACAAUUGAGGUUUUAGUUAACUUUGUUUUAAAUUUAAAUAAAAAAUUAAAUUAUAAAUUAUUAUUGAAAUUUAAAAAAUAUAUUUUAAUAAUAAUAAUUUAUAUAUUUAAACUUAAAUAUCUAAUAUUACUUCAAUAAAGAUAAAUUGACAAAUAUAAUAAUAAAUAAAUAUUUUAUUUAUCAAUAAAUUAAUAAUUUUAAAAUAAUAAAGUUAUAUGAAAUCUAAAUAAGAUAUAAAAUUAUAUAAUUUGUUAAUUUAAGAUAUUUAAUUUUUUGUAUUUUUAAGAUAUUAAUUUAUUUGUAUUUUGACAAAUUUAUCUUUAUUAAAAUAAUAAUAUAUUCUUAAGUUUCAUAUAUAGAUUUUUUUAUUAUUUUAAAGCAUAUAUUUAUAGUUUACGUAAAAAAAUACUAUUAUUUGUACAUACAAUAUAUAUGCCUUGAAGAUACAUUUUGAAAUUAGUUAAUAAAAUUAAUUAGAAAAAAGUCUACUAUAAAAUUUAAUUUUUAAUAGUUUCAUCAAAGUCACAAAAAAUACUCAUUAAAUAUUUAUAUUAUGGAAAAAAAAUGCCCCUCCCUAAUAUUACAUGUGAUAUAACUUAAAUUAAUAAAUUGUAUAAUUUUAUAUUUUAUUUAUAUGUCAUAUAAUUUUAUUAUUUUAAGAUUAUUAAUUAAUUGAUAAAUAAAAUAUUUAUUUAUUAUAUUUAUCAAAUUAUCUUUAUUGAAGCAAUAUUAGAUCUUUAAGUUUAAAUAUAAAAUUUUUUAUUAUUAAAGUAUAAUUUUUUAAUUUCAAUAAUAAUUUAAAAUUUAAUAUUUUUAAUUAAAUUUUAAAGUAAAAAAAUAAAAUAACUGAAGUUUCAAUUGACAUAUCUUAUUUAGAUUUCAUAUAAUAUUAUUAUUUUAAGAUUAUUAAUUUAUUUAUAAAUAAAAUAUUUGUUUGUUAUUAUAUUUAUUAAUUUAUUUUUAUUGAAGUAAUAUUAGAUCUUUAAGUUUAAAUAUAUAAAUUAUUAUUAUUAAAAUAUAUAUUUUUUAUUUCAAUAAUAAUUUAUAAUUUAUUUUUUAAUUAAAUUUUAAAAUAAAAUAAAAAUUUUAACUAAAACCUCAAUUGUCAAUUGAGGCUUUAGUUAAAAAAUAAGUUUCGAUUGACAAAUGAUACUUCAAUUAAAAAAUGAAGUCUUAGUUGGUAAUUGAGACUUCAACUUAAAUUUUAAAAAAAAAAAAUUAUGACAUAACUCCUAUAUGUGAUAAUAAAGGAACUAGUUUAAACAUAAGUUUUAUAAAAGGGUUAAAACUUAUAUUUUUUUCUACAUAAAAAACUAUUUUGCCCUAAAACUCCCGUAUCGUCGACUAGCUACUGCUUUACUCCAUGUAACAUCUUGUCUACUUAAUUAUAUGAACUUCCUGAAUUAAUGCUGGAAUGACAAACCAAGUUUUAUUGAAAAUGGAAACCUUCUUAGAAUCAAACAUUUGCUCGAACAAAUUUCGCAAUAAAAAGAGGAGAGUUGUGAAAAGAAGCAUUUUUCCUGCAGCCAAUUACCUUUUCAUACAUUACUUUAAAACAAAUUAACAAAUAGUGAUCUCAUAUUUUACCUUUUCUGUUGCAGAUUACUUUUAAAAAUAUUCUCUCCACAGGCACUCCUACGGAAUCUUUCUCCAAAUCAAACUGUACAUUUUACUCAAAUUUUAAUAUCUAAUUAUAAAUAAUUAUGGGUGAGAUUGCAAUCCUUUGCUUAGCUCUUUGAAAAUCUAUGAUGAUACUCGGUAUUAAUAUUUUAUUUUAUUAAAGAUAAAAAUAUCAAAAUAAUUUUAGAACUUUUUAGUGGGGAUAAUACUUCCCCAUUAGGCUGCUUACAAGGCAUAAAUUAAUAUUUUUUUAAUUUUAAUAAAAGCAAUUUGGUACAGUUGACUUGAUUGAUAACUAUUUAAGAUAGGAUUUAGACUAAUUUAGAUUAAUUAGAUUGCAUUUACAGUUCCGUUACCUCGAAACAAAGUUGGUGCAACAUUAACCAUGAUUAUGGUGAUAUAUUUUAGUUUUAUAUUUUUUAAGGGGAUAAUUUUUUUUUUUAAUGGUUUGAUGUUAGCUUAUAAGAAAAACCUAAACCAUAAAAGCCGAAUCUUUCCAAUAUUGAUCCAAUUUCUAUCAUUAAAAAUAUAUGAAUAAAACUUUUGAUCCUUAAAUAAAAGUAUACAAACUAUCGUACAAAAUAAUGGAAUCAAAUAUACAAAAUAAGAUUAAGGAAAUGUUUGAUAAAACUUAAUAUUUAUUAUUUAAUAAUUUAAAUUAACUCUAAGUUAAAUUAUAUUUAAGUUGUUGACUUAAAACUUAUUAUUUAAUUUUUAUUUUAAGUAUUAAGGUUAUUUAAAAAAAUUAACUUACAAUUUAUAUUAAAUCAUCAAAUUAAAAUAUUUAUCUUAAUAAAUUAUAACUAAGACAAAUAAGGUUAAAUAACAAUGGAGGUUGUGAAGUCAUAAAAGAGAUCAUAAAUGUAAUUGAGAGAAAAAAAGACAAAAAUAUAAAAUGAAGAUACUGACUUAAAAAUAAAUAAAUUUUUUUAUUUAUUAAGUCUUUUAUUUUAAGUCAUACAAUAAAAUUAUUUUAUCAAACAUAUUUAAUUUAUUUAAUAAUAUAAUUAAAAUAUUAAGUCACUUAAAGUUAUUAAAUUGGUUUACCAAACACGUACUAACGUACAAAUAAAUAAGACUAAAAUAGAAAACAAUGAAACUUAAACACAUAUAUGACAUGGUCUAUUUAAUUGUAUUUUUUUAUAAAUGCCUCUUUAAUACUUCCCAAAUCAUAACAUUAAAUUUCUUAAAUUGAUAUAAAACAUUUUUUUUUUUCUANNNNNNNNNNNNNNNNNNNNNNNNNNNNNNNNNNNNNNNNNNNNNNNNNNNNNNNNNNNNNNNNNNNNNNNNNNNNNNNNNNNNNNNNNNNNNNNNNNNNACAUAUAUGACAUGGUCUAUUUAAUUGUAUUUUUUAUAAAUGCUCUUUAAUACUUCCAAAUCAUAACAUUAAAUUUCUUAAAAUUGAAUUAUAAACAUUUUUUUUUUCUAUGAUUGAAUCAUUUAGCACUCCAAGUUUUACUAUUGGACGAAAUGUUAAGGAUCUAAUAAAUGGGUAACAUUAAUUUGCUGAAAUAGUUUUUCUUAUUACUUAUAAUGGUUUUAAGAAUGUUGAAAAAAAAAUUCAUGGGAAAACAUUUAUCAAACUCAAAUUUUGAUUCCUAUUUACUUUAUCUUUCCUUGUCAUGUCUCUUUCUAAUUUUCCUUUUUUAGCGGUUUGUUUAUUAGAACAGUAUAUCAUGCCUGUGAUUCUCUUUCUAUCACUUCUUUUCAAUUGAUUUGUUUAAUGCAAUAAUAUUUGUUUAAUGCAAUAAUAUAUCAUGUUAGACAAAAUAACACCUACCUACUACCCAAAUCCCCAAUGUGACAAUGAACUCUAUCUUUAAGCAUUAUUAUAAAAUUAAACGUAAAGGAUAUUAUAAGUUUCUUCCAUUCCACGUGCCUUUCCCAUAUAUUGAAAGGUGGAGGUUAUCAUUUUUAAAAGAUCAAUAAUUGUAAUGAAUUUUCCAUUCCACGUGCCUUUCCCAUAGAUUGAAAGGUGGAGGUGAUCAUUUUUAAAAGAUCAAUAAUUUUAAUGAAUUUCAUAUAUUUGCAUAUUUUUUAAGAGGGAAUUCAAAUUAACUCAUCUUAUUUCUCAAUGUUACGUAACUCCUGCCUCAAAUUAAAAUCAUCAUAUCAUUAUGAACAACUUUGAUACAACUAUUCAAUUUUUAAUAUGAAUUCUUUCAUUCUCAAAUCAUUGUUCAAGUUAGCUUUAUUAACUUAAAAAAACUCAUUCUUUGUCACUACUCCCUCUAUGAUUAUUAAAUGAUAAAAUUGUCAUUGUCUUAAAAACUAAUUUUGAUAAUAUAUUCAUCAACAUAUUUACAAAUUUAAAUUAAUACAAGUUGUAAGAAAUGUAUCAUAAAGAAGAUACAAAACUAGAAGUAGAUGAUAAUUAAUUAUUUUUUUUCUUUAUUGAACUUUGACACCCCAUCCAAAUGCAUUAACGAGAAAAAUAGUGUUUUAUGCUUGUUUUCAAUUAAUCUUGUCAAUAUGUACAUGAAAAACAAUGAUUUAUGCUUAUAAAUCUUAUCAAUUCGCUUAUUUGUAUAUGUAAAAUGAAAUUAUUGAAACUACACGUAGAAUUGCAUGAGGAAAAAAAUACAACUACUGCAUUUAUAAAUGAAUAAAAGCUUGGCUUAAAAUUCAAAAUUCUCAAAACUAUGUUUUCCACACCAAAAUAUUUCAUCCAGCCAACCAAACACCGAUUGAAUCCUCCCUCUAAAGCAUAUUGCCCAAGAUUACAGGCAACGUAGUAAUUACCUAGGCAAGUACGUCAGAAUUAUAGCUUCUUUUUUUUUUUUGUUUUUUUUCAGUUCAUUGACUCGGCUCCACCCAACCACUAUCAGUAUCAGUUACUACCAGAGAGGGUACUGGGUACUGGUUACUGGGCAGGAGCUUUUCCAAAUUCACAACCCGUCUUCUUUAUAUAAGGGCAAGUUUAUGUAUUUCCUCUCGCCAUUGCCUUUUGUUCGAAUCAUUUGAAGUUGAUUUUAUUAAUCCAUCAGAAAAACAUGGCUCUAACUGGUAAAUUGGAGAUUGAAACAGAGAUCAAAGCACCUGCUGAUAAGUUCUUUAAAAUCUUCAGGAGCCAAGCACACCACCUUCCUAAUAUCUGCUCCGAUAAAAUACACAAAAUCGAGGUACAUGAAGGUGACUGGGAGACUCAGGGCUCUGUCAAGCAUUGGAGUUACACCAUUGGUAGGAUAUGCAACUCGAACUCAGAACCCCAAAACACUAGCUAGCAUUAUAUUCCGUUAAAAUGUUUUUUGAUUUUUUUUCCCCAUUUCAUUGUUGUUUUCUUCACAUUUUUUUAUUCUUUUAGAAUAAAUGCAUGGCUCUUUGUACAAUUUUUCUUUUUUUCUUGCAAAGAAGUGGUCAAGUCUGGGCCGCCAGUGACUAUGAUCGAUGGUUCUUAGUAAUGUAUAUGGCAUCUAAUAUUAGCUUCAACAUAUUCCAAUUACUAGGAGGGAAUUCUAAGAGCAUUAAGGAGAGUGUGGAAUCAAUAGAUGAAGAGAACAGGUCCAUUACGUUCAAGGUUUCGGAUGGAGAGGUGCUGAACGACUACAAGAGCUACAAGUUCACCACACAAGCAAUACCAAAGGGAGAGGGCUGCUUGGUGAAAUGGACCAUUGAAUAUGAGAAGGCAAGUGAGGAUGGGCCAGAUCCCCAUGACUACCUGGAGUUUGCAGUUACUGUCACCAAAGAUAUCGAAAGUCACCUUCUCAAUGCAUAACACCAAGUCCAUACAUACCGUCUGCUAGUAUCUCUAUUAAAUAAAGUUUGGAACUUGGAAGGGCAUCUACGAUCUCUAUCCUUCAAUAUAUGCGAAGGCUUAGGGGAACUUUUAGCAGCUGUGGCUUGGUGAUUAAUGCUGAGAAGAUAAACUAGGUUUCCCUUAAUUAUUUGUGUAAUAAUGUUAGUGCAUGCGUGUAAUCGGUUGUAUGCUUGUCUGGACUCUAGGGGUUGCUUUGUGAUUGUUAAUUGGUGUCUUUUGUAAUGGGAUUACUACAUGUUAUGUGAAGACUAUAUGAUGUAUAAGGAAAUAAAGUGAAAAUUACCAGGGGCUAACUCCAUCAUGAGGAGCCUCUGAGUAUGUCCACAAGUCUACAUUCUUGCAUUCUAGUCACAUGUGUCAAAAUCAGACCCUAACAAAUUACAGUCUUGAUCAUUGAAGGGGUAAAAUCCCACUUUACAUAUAAUCUAAAUAAUUUAGCUAAAAUCUAAUAAGAAUAUCUCUCUCUACAGGUAUGUAACCUUCCAACCUUGAAUUUAAGGAUAUUUAUAUAAUUUAAAAUUAUAAAAAGAAAAUUUUGGAUAUAGGACAAAUUAAUUUUUUUUUUAAAAAAUAACGAAAGUGAAUGAAAUAUUUUUGGUUCCUAUGACCACCCACUUUUUUUACUUUUUAUUUUUAUCUCAUUUUAGUUUCUCCACGUUAUAAAAAAAUGAAAAGAUAAAAUAGAGAGGAAAAAAGACAACUUGGAUUUGUAGAAGUUUCUUUCUUUCAUGGUGUUUUUCUGUUCUGUUUUUGCCUUUGUUUCAUUCUAAAAGUCACUCACUAUCUUUAUCUCAUUUGGGUUUCCCCGCGUUAUCAAAAAAUGAAAAUAUAAAACAAAGAGGAAAAAAAAACCUAUACAAAGGUCUUUGGAAUUUUGAUUCAAAGACUUAAGAAAAGAAUAAUAAAUUUUUGCAUUUGUUCCGUUCUAAAAUUCAAGGUAAGUUUUUCACAUAUAAUUUUUUUUUAGGAAUUCUAUUAUCUAUUAAUUAUGAGAAUAGUAAAUAUAUAUAAUAAUAAUAAUAAUAAUAAUCAUCAUCAUCAUCAUCAUCAUCGUCAUCAUCAUUAUCAUUUUAAAACUAGUUAUUAGUGAUCCUAAUCAAUCGAGAACAAGUUGAUUUUCAUUACCCUUGGUAAUGGUAGUGAUAAAAUAUAUUUUUAGUUAAUAAGGGUGUAAUUAGCUUUGGGGUUUCAUUGAUUAGAAAUUAUUUCAUCUACUAGUAAAAAAAACAAAGUAAAACUAACCAUCAAGUGCAAAUCAUGAAUUUUUUUAAAUAUGAAUUGAGUAUACAAAGUAUAUUAUUUAAUUAUAUAUUUAAAUUGAAAGAGAUUAAUUUUUCAAAAAUAGUGAAUUUAAUCAUUGAAUCAAAUCAACUUACCUGUUAUAAAGAUGUGAUAUGUUCCAAAAUUUAGUUGUAUACAAUACGUGACCCUUCUUAUUAAACUAUCCUUUAUCAUUGAGCUAUCUAACUUACCUUUCUCAAUUAUUAUCCUUUAAGGUACAUCAAAUAUUGGUAUAAAUGAGAAGAGAUCGAGAUAUGAAAAGUAUUUCAAAUAGAAACAUCUUUAGAAUAGAUUUAUUUUUUAGGAUUGUUUACUUAGAUCAAGUUUAUUUUAAUUUCUAAAAUGUUUUUUUAAGUGUUUGAGAGAAUUAAAGUUAUUAUUUAGAUAUUUUAAUUAGUUUUGGAUUUGUUUGUUAAGGUCAUUCAUACAAAGAUGAUAUCCAUUUCUGUGUUAUAUUUUAUUUUAUUUAUUUAUUUCUUAUUUCAUGUAUUAAGUUUGAUAAAACUGAAGGUGAAAUCAACAUUGAAUUGCUAAAAAUGUCAAUUACUAUUGUUAAUUUAUCACAAUUAUGAUUUUUUAAUUGUAGCACAUAGUAAAAUUAUUAUUAUUAUUAUUAUUAAUAUUUAUACUCUGGUCGAACUUAUCCAUGGCCAAUCCAUCAUGUAGGCCAAUUUUGUCAAACUUAUCCAUGGCCCAUCCAUCAUGUAGGCCAAAUUUUUAUUAGCAUUUUUGGGUCAUAACUCUAGAUGCUGACAUUAAAGCAUUUCUGGCAUAAUAAUUAUUGGAAAAGGAUGUCUCCUCUUUCAUGGAUCACAACCAAUACAGCAAAGAUGAUGAUAGAUAGCAUCCUUAUCACCUCAUGUGUCUUGACCUCUUCUUCAAGCUUGAGUGUCUUGUCCUAUAUUUAACGCAUGUACCAUUGCCUCCAAGAUAUGGUGACAGGAAUUAUAUAGCUACUGACUAGCUAGUCUUCACUCCAAAAAUAUGAUGGCCACUUUUUUGAAAUAUAACUCUUUAUCCUAUUGACUUAAACUCACCACCUCUUUCAGAUCCUCCACAAGGAUCAACUUAUUAAGAGUUUGGUCGAAGUUUGAUCCACUUUUCUAAAUGAGCAAUGUUAAAUUAUUUUAUUCAAACAAAUUUGAUGAUCAAAUAUCUCUUAUUUUCUCAAAUUUAAAUAACAUUCCUUUAUAAAAAUAAUUAUAAAAUUUAUUAUAAUCACUCAUUUUCAAUGGCUCAUUAGUAGAUGUUCAUUGUAUUAAAAUACAUUUAUAUGAUUAAGAAAAACUUAUACAUUUCUAUUUUUUUUUUCUAUGCAUAAUUUAUAAUAUCUCAUAUAGGAUUUAUUGGGUUUAGAAACAUGUAAUAUUUAUAUAAUAGUGAGUGAAUUAUUAUAAAUGGUAUGAAAAUUGAUUUUCAACCCUUUAUGAGAAUUUAUUUAAUACUACAAUAUAUGACUCUAUGUUUGAUUAUGUAAUCCUAUAAGACACGAUGUCCAUUAAGUUCAUUAUAUUAUUUUUAAUUAUGUAAAAAUAUUUUAAAAUUAAAAAAAUUCAUUAAACUUAGUGCAGACGCUAUCUAUAUAAAAGGAAAUAAAUGGUUAUACUUCAUCAUAUUCGUUUCUCAUAUUUGAUAUAUAUCAAUUUCAGCGACUAUUAUUCAACAUUGCCCGAAGCAAUAGGUGCCUCACUUUUACAAAGAAAACUUCCUCUAUUGAUAUUUCUCAAAUAUAAAUUCAUGUCAUGGACUCAUGGUUAACAACCGAUAGAUCCUAAAACAAUUAGAUAUCUCAGAUAUUGAUUGACCAAAUGGACAACCGAUGCUAUAGUAAGAGCUGUUGCUGUUAUCUUUUAAUUUAAAUAUACACAAACGACAAAAUGCUUAACUAAUCCACCACCCAGGCGCCGGGCCACAGAAAUGAAAUACCGCCUACCCCAACAUUUUGGAAUUAAAAAUCUACACCACCCAGAUCUUGCUGUGAUUUGGUAAAUCCCGAGAAAUUGACAACCUUCCUACGCUGGGGAGGCGUGGUUCCAUUCAAUGCCAACAUUUUCGGAUGGGUCCAGAGAGUUGUACAGUGACUUUUAAAUAAAGAAUUGUUUUAAACCUUGACUUUGGGCUCUUUAUCAGGAAUAUGAAAAUAUUGGGCAAUGACUAGAUUCGAGAGCAGGUUGCAUGCAUAGAUAUCGCAUUAAUUUUUAGCAAUCGUUAUGACGAAAGAAAAUCUGCAGAACCAAGCGAAUUUUCCUAGUCAUCAUGAGAGACAUUAGACAAGGUUUUCAAUUCAUAAAAUUGCCUUAUCAUCUGGAAUUAAAUAUUUUCAAGCUAAGGAUGAGGUUCAAUCCGUACGGGGCAAUGAAAAUAUAUGGAUGCCCUAUAGAGUGGUUGAACAUUCUACAGUUUCGUCCCUAUUUAUAGAAGAAGAUGAAAUUUUAAGCAAUUUGCUUCAAUGCAAUUUUAGCAUAUUUCAGCUAGUCAUAGCAACGUCUAAUUUCGUUGAUGUAGAAGAAGCUAACACCAAAGAUUCAUCUAGGUAGAAAGAAGUAUCGAGCAUGUAACUAACCGCAGAACUCACAUCUAGGGACCCUAUUGUAAAUAUAACAGGUGAUGGACAUAAAGAUAGAUAUGAGUAAAAGAGUGGAACAUAAAAUCCAAAUUUCAAAAGUAUGAUAGUUUUUUAGUGUUUCUUUGAAUCUCGUAGGAAUUUAGGUCAUUUUCAAUCUCAUCCAUGAGACAAGGUACAAUAAUUGUUGAAGAAUAAGAGUAUUGUUGGGCAGUUCGGCGAGCUAUAUAUAAAGAGAGAGACUUCUUAACCAUAUAAAUAUUAUCCUCUAUAACUCUAAAUUUUUUUUUCCUUUAUCCAAUAUAAAAUAUCACAAUCACUUUUAUGUAUGCACUCUUUUUAAUCACGUCGCAUAAAAUUACACCAUUUUCAAAGCUAAAUAAACUCCUAUAUAGGGGUCAUAUAUUGACUUCAAUACUCUUUGAAACGACUCACACUUAAUCAUAUAAACUCAUUAUAAUAAUGUAUUUCCUAAUUUCAUGGAAUUUCAAUAAAAUAUUUAUUACUUUCAAAUGGGAAUUAGAGAGGAAUGUUGUCUAGCUAACUCAUAAUUCUUCUUUAUAAGUUCAAAUUAGGUAUUUACUUCUUCCUACCAUUACCUCAUAUUUUGAUUGUUUCUUCGUUAAUAUAUAGUUGGUUAAACUAAUAAACUAGAGGUUAGGAUGGAGAUCAAUUUAGAUUAUGUUUGUUUUGAGUUUAAUAAACCCUUACGACUUUAAAAUGUGUUUAGAUAGUUAAGAGAAACUUAUACAUAUAUAAUAUUAAAAAAAUUUCCUCAUUUAAUGUGAGAUAUUAUAAUCAUCACUCAUGUAGACAUAAUAUAUUUGUUGUAAGUCAGAAGAUUGUAAAACCAAACAAAUUUUUUCAUUGAAAUAUAAUAUUAUUUGUAAUGGUUCACUUUCUCUCAUGGAUCCCAACUCCAUUAGGUUCUUCAUGAAGCUUGUUUCAGUUUAUUAACCACCGAUGUAGCAAAGAUGAUGAUAAGUAGUAUUUUUGUUUCUCAUAUGUUUUCAGACCUCAUCAAGCUUGAGUGCCUUAUCCCAUCUCUAACGCAUGUACCAUUGCCUCCAAAAUAUGUUGCCAGAUUAUACAUAAUAUCAUAAUUAUAGCUACUGAAGUCCAACGACUACCUAGCUAGUCUUCACUCCCAAAAACAUGAUGGUCACUUCUUUGAAAUAUAACUCUUAUCCUAGUGACUCAAACUCACCACCUCAUUGACAUCCGUCAUAAGAAUUUCAGAGACUCUUCAAAGUUUGAUCCACUUUUAUAGAUGAAUAAUGUAAAAUUCUUUUAUUCAAACAAAUUUGAUGAUCAAAUAUCUUUUCUUUCCUAAAAAUUAUAUUUCCUUUUUAUAAAUCUUAUUUUAAUGACCCAAUUACAGUAUGGUAGAUAUUGUUUGUUUCGAGUCCAAUAAACCCUUAUAACUUUAAAAUAUGAUUAAAUAGUUAAGAGAAACUUAUAAAUAUAUAAAUGUGAGGUCAAAUAAAUUUUCAUAUUGAGAUAAAAGAUUAACUUUAAUACUAUUUGUAAUGGUUUACUUUCUUUCAUGUAAACAUCAUCCACUUUAUACUCAAUGAAUCAUUGAAGCUUUAAAACAUAUUUACAUGAUUAAAAGAAACUCGUACAUAUAGUAUUAGAAUUUUUUUUUUCUGACCCAUGAUUUGCAAUAUAUGUAUAAAUACGUUUUAAAGUUAUGAGGAUUUAUUAAGUUCAGAGUAAAUAGUAUUUAUAUUAAAUGGAAUGACAUGUCACAUGCAAAUAAUAUCAAACUCAAUCUCCAAUUUUUAUAUAAGAGUUUGUUUGAUUUUAUAAAAAAUGUUUGUGUGUUUCAUUCUACAAUUCUGUGAGACACAACAUCCAUUUAAUUUAUUAAAGUCUUUUUAACUAUGUAAACAUGUUUUAAGUUGUUAAGAUUGAUUGGGUAAAAACAGAAGAGGUGAUUGUGUGUUUUAUCCUACAAUUCAAUGAGGCAAUGCCUAAUUGAUUCAUUGGGGUACUUUUAAUCGUUAAUGCAUGUUUCAAUGUUGCUAAGAUUGAUUGAGUGAGGAAAAUAUCUACAUAUGAAAGGCAACAGUUAGUUACACUUCAUUAUGUUUUUUUCUAAUAUAUUGAUAUAUGUCAAUUUCAGUAGUUAUUAAUUCAACAUCGCCCAAAGUAACCAAUGCCUCGCUUUUCCAAACAAAACUUUCUCUAUUGAUAUUUCUUAAAUAUAAAAUCAUGUCAUGGUAAGCAUCCGAUGGAUACUAAGACAAUUGGAUAGAUAUCUCAGAUAUUGAAUGGACCAAAUGGGGUAACGGAUGUGGUAGUAUACAAGCGCUGUAUAUCUUUUAAUUUAGAUAUACACACACAACGUAAUGCCUAAUCCAUCCAGCCGGGGGGCCGGCCAGAGAGAUAUAAAAUACCCCCAAUCCCAUCAUUUUGUAUUUUGUAUUGGAAUUAAAAAUCCAAACCCAGAUAUUGCUAUGAUUUGGUAAAUCCCGAGAAAUUGAGAACCCAUCCUGGGGGAGGCAUGGUCCCCCUAUUCAAUGCCAACCCUAUUUUCAAAUGGUGUCUAAAGAGUUGUACAGUUAACGGUGACUUUAAAAUAAAGAAUUGCCUUAAACCUUGAUUUUAGGCCCUUCUUCAAGAAUAUGAAAAUGCAUGUUGGGCAAUGAUUUAGAUUCGAAAGUGGGUUCUGCAGACAUCACAUUUCUGCAGAGCCGAAAAUAUUUACAAGCGUAGGACGAAGCUCAGUUCAGAUGGGCCUCGAAGAUGAAUUUUUAAGCAAUUUGCUUGAUACAUUCAGCAAUUGAUAAUUUAAAAUAAAAAAAAUUAGGAAAUAGAAAGUAAAACAUAUAUGGUUAAAACUUCAAUGCAAUUUUAGCAUAUUUGAACUAGUCAUAGGAGCGUUUAAUUUCUUUGAUGAAGAAGCUGAACACCAAAGAUUCAUCCAGGUAGAAAAAUGUAUUGACCAUCUAAUUGUCUGCAGAACCUACAUCUAAGUACCCCGCUAUAAAUAUAAGAGGCAACUUAGGUGAGGGACAUAUAGACACAUACGAAUGCCAUUGUAGAAUAUAAAAUCCAAAUUUCUCAAAACUAUAAGGUUAUGUUUGAAUCCAAAAAAAUAUUAGAGGAAGUGAAAAUGUUAAGAAAAAUAAUUUUUUAUGAUUAAUUUUAUUAUAAAAAAUAUAAAAAAUAAAUAUAAUUAAAAUUAGUUAGAAUUUUACAUAUUUUUAAAUUAUAUAAUUUGAAUUUAAAUAAAUAUAUAAAAAUAAGUCAUUAAUUUUAGAUCUAUUUCUUUUUUCUUUUUUUAUAUUCUCCCACAAAAUUUCAGUAACCGAACACAACCUAAUAGUUUCCACUGUUUCUUUGAAUUUCUCAACUUCAAAAUCUCUUGUCUAUGAGACCUCAGAGUAAUUAAUUCCUACCUCUUGGUGACUAGGCCAAGCGCAUGGAUAGGCACAUUGACCCACUUGUAAUUGCCUAGGCUAAUAGGCCAAGCUCAUAGCAAUUUUCCUUUUUUAUUUUUUAAUUUCGUCGUAGGACUUGGUCUCCACAAGGCACUAUAACGUAUCCCCUAAUUUCAUUUCAUGGAACUUUAAUAAAAUAUCUAUUGCUUUCAAGUGGGAACUGGAGAGCAACGUUGCCUAGCUAACUCACAAUCCUUCUAUAUAAGUUCAAGCUAGGUAUCUUCUUCCUUCCACCACUGCCCACUGCCUUGUAUUAGGAUAUCGUUUCUUAGUUAAUAUAUAGUUGAUUAAUUUCCAUCUCCAACUACUACUAUUAUUAGAAAAAUAUGGCUCUAACUGGCAAGCUAGAGGUUGAAAUGGAGAUCAAUUCACCUGCGGAUAAAUUCUAUAACAUCUUCAGGAGGCAAGCACACCACAUUCCUAAUAUCUGCUCAGAUAAAGUACACCAAAUUGAUGUACAUGAAGGUGACUGGGAGACUCCAGGCUCCGUCAAGAACUGGGGUUAUACUCUUGGUAAGGCAACCACAACUCAAACCCCAAAACCCUAGCACUAUUAGUCUGUAAAAAAAAAUGAUUUUUUUAGUUUUUCUAUUUCAUUUAAUUGUUUUUUUGUUUGGCAUUUUCCCCUUUAGAAUAUUAAUUUAACUGCAUUAAUUCGGAGUUGAUCCCAUCAUGUGGAAGUUUAUGCUUCUGUUAUGAAUACAGCUUUGUAUGCCUUCCUUAUGUUUAAUUCAACCUAAAGCAUGUAGAAUUGAUGGUCAAAGUCUAUGGGACCCUUUUUUCAUGACCGCCAUGCAUGGGGCUUUCCCAGGUGACUGCCCGCUACUAAAGGGGCCUAAAGUUUAGGUCCCCCGAGUUAGAACUUAGAAGAGGGAUUAUGAAUGAUCAGUGAAGUUGUAAGGUUUUGAUCUUCUUAGAUAUUACCUAGAAAGAGGAUUGACUUUACUUGACUUUUACCAUAUUGAUUUAGAGAUUGGCGAUUGCUUUAAAAGGUUGUGUCAACAGAAGAAAACUUAAAAAAUAUUAAGAAAAAUAAAAAAAAUGAUUUUGUUUUUAUAAAAAAAAUCAAAUAUAAUAAAAACGAGUUGAAAUUUUAUUUAUUUUUAAAUUAACUUUUAUAUAGAAGAAUUAAAAUACGUUAAGUAAAUUUGAAUCAAAAUAUAAAAAUAAUUAAUUUCUUAAUUUUAAAUUUAUUAUUUUUCUUUUAACUUCUUUUUUGUUUUUUCAUUUUCUUUUCUUUUGUAUUUUCUUCAAAUUUUUUUAGAACCAAAUAUAGUCAUUAUGAAAAGAUGGGCCACGAAGUGACUACGCAUGUCAAUUUGCUUGAGAUUUCGCAAUCUAGUAGUUUCAAAAUACUAUGCUUAACCCCUUGUUUUGGUUUGAAAUUACUAGGAGGGACUUCUAUGAGCCUUAAAGAGACUGUGGAAUCAGUAGAUGAUGAAAACAAGUCAAUCACUUUCAAGGUUGUGGAUGGAGAGAUCAUGAACCAUUUCAAGUGCUUCAAGUCCAACUUGCAAGUAAAAGCAAAGGAUGAGGGCAGCUUGGUGAAAUGGAGUCUGGAAUAUGAGAAAGUAAAUAAGGAUGUCCCAAAUCCUGAUGCUUACCUGGAGUUCGCAGUUAAUGUUACUAAAGAUAUUGAAAGCCACUACCUCAAGGCAUGACACCAAGGCCAUGUGGUAUCCUCGGUAGUAUUACUUCAAUAACGCUGGUGUUUGUAAUUUGGUUGAGUUGUAUGCUUUACCAGGAGUGGCCUUGUGAUUGGCUGGUUUCUUUUGUAAAGGCAUUAUCAUAUAUGAUGUAAAUACUGUACCUUAAAUAAAAAGAAAAUCAGCAAAGACCCUCCUUUUUAAUGUGGAUAAUUGCUUUUAAUGUCACCUUUGUUGAUCGGUUUACAAGACAAGAGUUAACAAGUAGUCCCUAUUUAUUAAAUAUAAGAAUUUUCUGUAUCCAUUAAUCAUCAUCAGUAAGCUAAUAAAAUGGCUGAUAUUUUUCUUAAUAAAAACAGCAACAGUUACUGAGUUUAUAUAUAGGACACCAGUUGCAGAUUAGAUUUCUUUGGCUUGAUUGUGAUCUUUCUACAUGUUGGAAAAAUAUUGUCAUUUGGUAUUUAAUAUCAAAUUUUAAAAAUAAUAUUUAAGAUAUGAAGAAAAAAACAUACAAUGAUUCAUAUUUUUAACUUUAAUAUGAUUUAAAGUUCAUCGAGUAACCGUUUUGAAAUCAUUCACCCUUGAUCUUCACUUUCCUAGUCUCCCUUUACACGUUCCUUAGUGGUGAGUAUGAAAAUGAUUCCAUUGAAUUGUAAGAAUGGAAAGAGGGAUAAAAAAUUCUUCUAUUUAUAAGCAUAGAAUGAUUCUUCUUAUCAGUGAACCAUUAACUAAAUACUUUAAACAUAUUAUUAAUUAAUAAUAAUAAUAAUAAUAAUUAUUAUUAGAAAAUAAAUUUCAUAAAUAUUAUAAAUUUAAAAAAGAAUCUAAUUUAAUUCUUAAAAAAUUUAUGCAUGAAAUUUUUAUAUUAUUUUUAAUUGUUUUCUAAGGGUUAUUUUAAGAAAUUAUUAUACAAACAUAUAAAAUAAUUAAAAAUAAAACAAUAGAUAUAAAAAUUAUUUUUAAAAAUAUUAAAAAUAAAUUCAAAAUAUUUUAAGUUGCCAAACAAAUUUUUUAUUCUACAAAAAUCAGAGAUAGUUUUCAAAAUCUCUUUUAAAAAACUAUUUUUCAGAAUUAUUUUAAAAAAUAGUUACCAAACAAGCCCUAAAAGAUUUAUAUAUAUAUAUAUAUAUGAAAUUAAAAAAAUAUCAAAUAAUAAAAAUUCAAACAAUGGUAAGGGUGUCACUAAUGAUCGGUUUGGAUUUAAACUAACAUUUUUUUAUAUUGAGUAAUUUAUUUUUUAUUCUAUAUAUUAGAAAAUUGAAUUUAAAUGUAACUUUUUCAAAUAAAAUAGUUAGAUCACACUUGAUAUAUAGUAAUAAUUUUUUAAAAACUAAUGGUCAUAAUUUAAAAAAAUGAUGAAAAAAAAAUCUCAAAUAUAUUGCAUAUGAAUGUAUAUAUUUAGUUUUAUACAACAUGUUAGACAUAUAUUAGUUAUUAACUUAUUAUAAUCUACUAAAAUAUUAAUUCUAUACGAGGGGAUUAGAUUUCUCAUUGUUGAUUUUAUAACCCUCAUUGUGGGAUUAUAAAAUGUCAUUGCAAUCACUCCCAAUUUAGUCUAUGCAAAUCAAAUAUAGAAAUGCAAUUUAUCUCUGUCACAAUUUGUUACACAAUAAUGAUAAUGGAUAAUAAAUAAAUAAAUAAAUAAAAUUAAAGAACACACAUUUAUGUAUAAAACUUUAGAUGAGAAAAAUCAUGGAUAAGGAAAAUGAAUAUCCAAUAUAUCAAAAGAUUGGUAUAAAAGAUGAGAAAUAUAAACAACUAUGAUAAAAAUAUAAUCAUCAUAACCUUAAAAUUAUGUGAAAGUAAUUAACAAAGUAGGUCCAUACAUAAGGACAAAGAGCCCCCUCAAAGGUAUCAAUGGUGGGGGUGUGGGGUGUGGGAUCGGAUCAAAUUCCAACGUUAUCAAUGGUAGGCUAGGGGAUCGGAUCAAAUAGAAUUUGGAUCGCCAAACCUUAAUACAUUUUAUGCUUUUUCUUAUUGGUUUAGAUUUAUGAUAAUCUCCUCCACCAGCAAAAUAAAGUUAUACCGGAGGAUUUUCUUUGUUUUGGCUGUCACACUUUCACUUCUUUGCUAAUAGCCUAACAUCAAAUGAGAAAAUAGAGACAUUUUAAAAAUGAGAACAAAUUCUCGAGGAUUUAGUUGUCUGCCACUAGACUAUAAAAAAUGCUUUCCUGUUAUUUUACCCCCUAAAAUAAGUUUGAUACAAUGCAUCUAUUUUCUGGCUCCGACAAUGUUUAAGAAUACAUCAACCGACCUCAAACCACAUUAUUUCGGUUUGAAAAGAAGGCUUUAUUAUGUCAGUAUGGCUGCUAAGAAGACUUUUGGAAUAUAAUAAAACAAGUCCAGCGAGUUGAUGGUUUGGAAUCGAGAGAUCAUGAAUGAUUUCCCUACUUUAGAGUCAAUAAUUAAGUGGAAUGUGAGAAGGUGAAUGAGGAUGGCCCGGGAUCCAAUGCUUACUAAACUAUUGAAGAUCACCUUCCUGAGGCAUAAUUCCAUUACUUUUCAUCGACGCUGCGAUGCUAUAAAAGAAUAUUAUAAAAAUGCAAGGGUAAUGAAAUAUUGUACAGCCUUUACCGUAUUGAAGAACGUGGACUGAUUGCUAGGGUACCCAACACCCACCAUAAUUCCCACACCAACUCCCAACCAACCCGAUCACGUAGGGCCUCACAUGGCCUCAUUAUCAUUUAUGUGGAAAGAUAAUGCUAAACUAUAUACGGGAUGGCCAUUCUACCAGCCAACCUGUAAUGAUUUUGAUAAAAGUAUACUAAAAAUAGAAGGAGAAAUUAAGUUAUCAUUUGAUAACGGUUUUUAAAAAUUGUUUUUAAUAUUUUAUAAAAUAAAAUUUUAUUUAGAAAUACAAAAUAUUUUUAACUUAUUUUUAAUAUUUUAUAUGUAUAUAUAUAUAUAUAAAGAGAGAGCGCUUUAUUUUUAAUUAUUUUUCAUAUUUAUAUAAUUAUUUUUUAAAACAAUUUCAAAAAAACAAGUGAAAAUAACUAAAAAAAUAUUCUUUGAGAUAAAGAUCAAAAAACAUAAAAUAGUUUUUUUUAUUAUCAAACAUGUUUUAUGUUUUCUAAUCUGUGUUUUUUUAAUUUGUUUUUUGUUUUCAAAUCUUAAGAUCACUUAAUUUUUUAGGGUUUUUUUUAAGAAAUAAUUAUAUAAAUAUAUAAAAUAAUUAAAAAUAAAAUAUUAGACAUAAAAAUUAUUUUUAAAACAUAUUUAAAAAUAUUAAAAACAAGUUUAAAAUAUUUUAAGUUAUAAAAUAAGCUUUUUUUUUUUUACAAGAAUCAUAAAAUAAUUUUUAAAAACUAUUUUAAAAUAUUAUUUUUGAAAAUAAUUAUCAAACCCCUUAUUUUCUAUUCUCAAAAAAUGUUUUUUAAUUAUCAAAUGUGGUGUCUAUUUAAAUUUAAGAUUUUAAAUUUUAAAUUUAGUUAUUUCCAAGUUAUGAUCUCUUGAUAUUAUUUCAACCUAUUAUUUAUUUAUUUGUUUGUUUUUCACAUAAAUAAACUAAAAUUCAAUUGUAUAACCCAGUAUGAAUCACGUGGGCCCUUAGUGAGGCUGGCUACAACUAAAUCAACGUUCUUUUGAUAAUCGAUUGCCUAUGAAAGAAAUCAUCACGCCUUACACACAAUAGAAUAAAUUAAUAAGAAAGUAAGAAGAUUAGAAAGAAAAGCAUCUUAGAGGAAGGGUUUUUUUUUUUUUAACUUCUUGGUGGUGACACUGGAUGGGCUUUUGAUAAUUGUACGACGAAUUUAAAAUUAAUGUUUUAAAAUACGGUAUUAAAAAAUAUUUUCAAAUUUAUGGUACUUUUUACCACUUUGAAACAUGUUUCUUAAAAAAGCAUAUUUCAUCGUUUUUAUAUUAAUGAUACACAUUCAAAAAAAAAAAAAUUAAAGGUGUCUUUUUGAAAUAUAUUUUUCAUAAUUUUUAUAUCAAUAACACACAUUAAAAAAUUUUGAAUUUAUAUUAAAAGUGUCUCUUCAAAAAACACAUUUUAUAAUUCCAUAAAAUUAAAUUUAUAUUAAAAGUGUCUUUUAAAGAUAUACUUUUUACAAUUUUCAUAUCAGUUAUAUAGUGAAAAAAUUGAAUUUAUAUUAAACAUAUUUCUUUAAAAGACAUUUUCUACAAUUUCAUAAAAUUAAAUUUAUAUUAAAGGUAUCUCUUUCAAUAAUUUUUGUAUCAAUCAUCCAUUGAAAUAAUUGAAUUUAUACUAAAAAUAUCUUUUUAAAAGACACCAUCCAUAAUUUCAUAAAAUUAAAUUUAUAUUGAAAUGUUUCUCUUUAUACUUUUAAUAUAAAUUUAAUUUUUUUAUAGGUGAUUAAUAUAAAAAUUAUGAAAAGUAUUUAUUUAAAAAAUAUUUAUUAUAAAUUCAAUUUUAUAGAAUUAUAAAGACGUCUUCAACGUAAAUUCAAUUAUUUUUUCAAUGUGUAAUUGAUAUGAACAUUAUGAAAAAUGUCCUUCAAAAGACACUUUUAGUAUAAAUUUGAUUUUAUGGUAUUAUUAAAAGUAUAUUUCUUUAAUAUAAAUUCAAUUUUUUAACAUGUAUAACUAAUGAAAAAUUAUAAAAAAAUUAUAUUUUGAAGAGAUAUCUUUAAUAUAAAUUCAAUUUUUUAACAUGUAUAACUAAUGAAAAAUUAUAAAAAAAAUUAUAUUUUGAAGAGAUAUCUUUAAUAUAAAUUCAAUUUUAUAGAAUUAUAAAAGAUAUCUAUUGAAAAAAUACUUUUAACAUGUAUCAUUGAUAUGAAAAAUAUAGAAAAUAUCUUUUCAAAAAACACUUUUUAAAAUGGUAAAAAGUACCAUAAAUUUAUCAAAAGUUUUAUAACUAUCAUAGAAAUUUUUUUCAAAAGUUCCAUUUUUUAAUAAUUAUUUUUUUAAAUAGCCGUACAAGUUAUAUAAAAAAAAACCCGAUACUCCAUAAAAUGUGAUCAAGUAGGAUUUGCAUCAUGCAACCUCAUACAAAUAAUAAAAAGCAUAAAUCACUUGAAACUUGAAAGUGAUUGGAAUUUGGCAGACUCUAGCUAGCUAGGUUGCCAUAAAUGACAUGGGUCAGUGGCCGACACCCACCAAACCCAGCACUUAAUAAUAUAAUUAAUAUACUAUUAUUAUAGAACCAUCGUUUUCAGGAUAGGGAGCAUCAAAUUAACCUCCCCAAGUCAAACUGCACAAUUUGUUUCAUCGAAAUCGAAUAUCUAAUAAUGAAUGAUUAUGGGUGAGAUUGCAAUCCGCCAAUCCUUUGCCUAGCUCUUUGAAAAUCAAUGAUGAUGCUUAGUAUUAAUAUUUUAUUUAUCUUUUUAAUAUGAAAAUAAAAAUAUCAAAAUAAUUUUAAACUUUUUUCGUGGAGAUAAUGCUCCCCAGUUAAGCUGCUUAUAAGGUAUAAAUUAAUAAUAACCUUUUAAUUUUAAUAAAAGCAAUUUGAUACAUAUCACAUCUUAAUUCACUUGAGUAAUAACUAUUUAAGAUUGGAUUUAGGUUAACUUAGAUUAAUUAGAUUGUAUUCAGGUUAAUUAAACCAUAAUCAUAUUAUUAUCAACAAUUUCUCACAACUAUCCUAUUUUUAAUAUGAAUUAUUCCUAGUUCUCAAAUUAUUGUUUAGGUAGUUUUAUUAUCUUAAAAAACAUCUUUUUUUGUCAUUGGUUCUGCAUGGUUAUUAAAUAAGAAAAUUAUAAUUAUCUUAUCAACUAAUUUGAAGACUUUUCACAAAUUCAUACUUUAAAAACCUCUUUCUUUGUCGUGGGUCCCUACAUGGUUAUUAAAUAAUAAAAUUGUAAUAAUUUUAUCAAUUAAUUUGAAGACUUUUCACAAAUUUAUACAAUACUAGUUAUCGGAAAUGUGUCACAAAGAAGAUGCCAAGCUAAAAGCAAAUCAUGAUUCAUUAUUUUUUUUCCCAAUUGGAGCUCGAUGACCCAAUCCGAAUGCAUUAACAUCAAAAUUAGUGUUUUAUACUAUUUUCAAUGAACCUUGUCAACAUGAUCGUGAAAUGAUUUAUGAUUAUUUUCAAUAAACCUUUCAUCGAAACUAUGUGUAGAACUGCAUGAAUAAAUAAGAAAUUUUCAUAGUUACAGAUUUGCAUUAUCUCACUCUAUAUGAUUUUAUAUAGUUUUUUUUUUAAUACUUCUGCAACAUUUCUUUAGAAAAAAUAUUGUAUCAAUAAAUUCAGUAAUUUUCAUCAAUUUCAAUCUUAUAAUUAAAUGAUACUUCUGUCAUGUAUAUCACCAUACGUGUCACACUUCAUUCAAGAUCAGGUUGAUUAGUCAUGUAUACCUGCUCCAUUAAUAAAGUAUUAAGUUUUUAUUUUAUUUUAUUAAAAUAAUAAAUAAAUAAUAUAAUUUUUUUUUAUUAGAGGUAGUUAGGUAUCAUUAAAUGAUUUGUUGUCCUGCCAUGUCCCCAAUUAAUAAUUUUAUACUUUUCAUUUUUUUCAAAGGAUUUAAAAUAUAAAAUAUUAAAGAUAAAAUAUCUGAAAGUACCGCUUCCAUACCCAAUCAAAUUUUAAAUCUAAAUUAUUGACAUGUGAGUGAAAUUUGGACUAUUAAAUAAAAAGUGAAAAAAAAAUAAAAUAAUAAAUAAUUAAAAAUGUUCCUGCAAGGAGAUGUGACUAAGGUUAAAAAAGGAGGGGAUAAGGAGCGGCUAGGAAUAUGUAAACAAAAUUCAAAUAAUUAAAAAACGAAAUGAUAACUUCUCAAUGAAAUUGAAUGUUUCAGUUCUAAAAUCCAAAACAAAAACUAUAGUGAAAGAAAAAUUUGAGAAAAUAUAGCAUGGUCUUCUCUUUAAUGAUUGAUAAAUAUUUAUAUAUAAAUAAAGUUUAUUUUCCAUUAUAAUUUAGAUUAGUCGAGUCUUGUUUUCUACUCAAAUUCAAACUUCACAUUUUGUUAUAAUUUAAUCUAAUAAUAAUUGUUUUCACAAGACAAGCUGAAGUUAUCCAUUAAAAUACAACUUUUAAUUAAUAGUUUAAAAAAUAAGAUAAAUUUGAAAAUAAUUUUAAAAUUUAAUAAGUAUAUAUAUUUUUAAAUAGCAUUUUUUUUUUUAAAUUGCCAAAUCUAUGCUCAGAAAAGAUCCACAAAAGUUGAUCAACAAAAGAUACCGAACAGGAAGUAGAUGAUAAUCCAUUAUUUUCUUCUUUAUUAAAGUUUGACAACCCAAUCUGAAUUCAUUAACGUGAAAAGCAGUGUUGUAUGCUCAUUUUCAAUGAACCUUGUCAACAUGCACGUCAAAAACAAUGAUUUAUUAACUACGUACAUGUAGAAUUCCAUGGGAAAAAAAAAAAUACAAUUAAGGCCUUGGGAGAUGAAUAAAAGCUUAACCUAAAAUUCAAAAUUCUCAAAACCAUGUUUUUUCACACCAAAAUGUUUCAUCCAGCCAACCUAAGACCGAUUGAAUCCUCCCUCUAAAGCACAUUGCCCAAGAUUACAGGCAACGUAGUAAUUACCUAAGCAAGUACGUCAGAAUCAUAGCAAUUUUUACCAAAGUGGGUAUCGGGAAGGAGCUUUGCCUAAUUCAUUCUUCGACAAGGUUAUCUACUUCCUCUCGUCACUGCCUUCUGUUUGAAUCAUUUGUAGUUAGUUUUAUCAAUCCAGCUAGUGUUAUUAUCAGAAAAACAUGGCUCUAACUGCUAAAGUGGAGACUGAAACAGAGAUCAAAGCACCUGCUGAUAAGUUCUUUAAACUCUUCAGGAGCCAAGCACACCACCUUCCUAAUAUCUGCUCCGAUAAAAUACACAAAAUCGAGGUACAUGAAGGUGACUGGGAGACUCAGGGCUCCGUCAAGCAUUGGAGUUACACCAUUGGUAUGACAUGCAACUCAAACUAAGAACCCCAAAACACUAGCGUUAUAUUCUGUUAAUUAAAAUAAUUUUUGAUGUUUUUGUUUCAUUUCAUUGUUGUUUUCUUCUCCUUUCAAUUAUUCUUUUAGAAUAAUAAACGCAUGCGUCUUUGUACAUUUUUUUUCUUGCAAAUAAGUGAUCGGGUCUGGGCCGCUAGUGACUAUGAUGGUUCUUAGUAAUGUACAUGACAUCUAAUAAUAGCUUCAACAUAUUCCAAUUAUGUUUAACCUCACAUUUUGGUUUUAACUAGGUGGGAAUUCUCAGAGUAUUAAAGAGACUGUGGAAUCAAUAGAUGAAGAAAACAGGUCCAUCACGUUCAAGGUUUUGGAUGGGGAGGUGCUGAAAGAAUACAAGAGCUACAAGUUCACCGCACAAGCGAUACCAAAGGGGGAGGGCAGCUUGGUGAUAUGGACCAUCGAAUAUGAGAAGGCAAGUGAGGGUGGCCCAGAUCCCCAUAACUACCUAGAGUUUGCAGUUAAUAUCACCAAAGAUAUCGAAAGUCACCUUCUCAAUGCAUAACACCAAGGUCAUAUCUACCCUUUGCUAGUAUCUCGCUCGUAAAUAAAGUUUGGACCUUGGAAGUCCAUCUACGUACGAUCUCUAUCUUUCAAUAAACGCAAAUUCCAGGUGUGGACUUGGUGAUUAAUGCCGAGAAGAUAAACUAGGUUUGCCUUGGUUAUUUGUGCAAUAAUAUUAGUGCAUGAGUGUGAUUGAU